rnacentral:lncRNA from 1 species
UUUAUUUUUUUUAUAUGUAUGACUAUAGUGUACUUUGAGAUAUGUAUGAAUAUGUGUAGCCAUUCUAUGAAGCUUUUUAUUCGGUCAUUCUAUAUCUAUAUAAUGAUUAAUUUAUGAUGAUUAAUUUAUGUGUGCAUGCGUACAGUUUGAUAAGUGAUUUUGGUAUUCGGGCCUUGGCCGUAUUUAGUUCCUCCAAAAUUUUUUUGACACCACAGACACACAUUUAAAGUAUUAAACAUAGACUAAUAAAACAAAUUACAGAUUCCACCUAUAAACUGCGAGACGAAUUUAUUAAGCCUAAUUAAUCUAUCAUUAGCAAAUAUUUACUGUAGCACCACAUUGUCAAAUUAUAGCGUAAUUAGGCUCAAAAGAUUCGUCUCGCAAUUUACAUGCAAACAAUGCAAUUGAUUUUUUUUUCAUCCACAUUUAAUGCUUCAUGCAUGUGUCCAAACAUUUGAUGUGACGGAAUUUUUGGAAGUUUGAAGGGAACUAAACACAACCCUUAUUUAGAUCCCAAAAAAUUUUGGCCAAAAACGUCACAUCAAAUGUUUGGACAAAUGCAUGGGGCAUUAAAUGUGGAAAAAAAAUCAAUUGCAUAGUUUGCAUGUAAAUUGCGAGACGAAUCUUUUGAGCCUAAUUAUGCCAUGAUUUGACAAUGUGAUGCUACAGUAAAUAUUUGCUAAUGACGAAUUAAUUAGACUUAAUAAAUUCAUCUCGCAGUUAUAGGCGGAAUCUGUAAUUUGUUUUGUUAUUAGUCUACGUUUAAUAAUUUAAAUGUGUGUCCGUAUACUUCAAAAACUUUGCACCCAAACAACUAAACACACCCUCAGGCAAUAUAACUUGGUUCUUUUUUUCUCUAAUGCAGCACCACCAUAGUCAACUGUAGAGUUAUCCCUUGGUAUGUGAAGUGAUGAUCAGAGCCAAUGUACCUCUCAAACCGACUCACAAAUGGAUAUCAUCAUUGUUGAAAGAAGGGUUUCAUCGGGGUUUUAACCGAUGAGGUAUGUAGAUGUUGCAUCGGCUUACAAAGAUUGCAUAUAAGUUGGAUUUAGCCAUUCGCAACAAAGGUUUCACUGUUUAUCUAAUCUUGUGGAUUUUAUGACAUGGGACCUCCAGCCAAUAUAUGCUUUAACCAUCGGAAUAUUUAUUUUAUCAUAUCAUUGUUAGCCGAUUAGUUUCUACUGGAUUAUAUUAUUGUUAUUUAUCAUCAUCGGCUGAUGGCCUUUAUGUCAUUUAUUUACUCAAGUAUCAGACUUUGCAUUGGACAUAUAGCCGAUUGCUCAAAACCCUAUCAACAUCUGCUGGUAUCGGCAUCAGUUGGAAUUACUCCGUCUGCUUGUCAGCCAAUCGGCUCAUUGAUCUACUAUUUGCAUAUCUUAUCAGUUGCAGGAUCAAACUGACUGACACUUCUGCAUCUCAUCAACCUUUUGACCUGCACUGGAGCUAAGUAGAUCUCCCAUGCCGUUGGGUUUGUUGACUUAAUUUUGCGCCAACACAGUUCUGGCACCAUCGGCCGAGCGCGGUUUUUUCGUCAACAGGGGGUAAAAUGAAAAAAAAAGGAGAUGCUAAGGUGCCUAUUUUUUCCUCUCAGGGUGGGAUGAGGAUUUGUGGAAGGAUUCCUUAGAAAAGAAGUUUCUUGAAGGGUAUUGAAAAUAUUUCGCAAACUGAGGAAAUAACGGCUAGAAGCAUCGGAACGAAGAAUUGAACGGCUAAAGUUCCCUUAAUGACGUGGUGUUGUAUUUUGCAAGGAAAGGUUUCACUUUUCACUUAUUUAGAUAUAACACACAUGCAUGUAUUUUCGUGCAACUAGUGACUUGCAACACAUGAUCCCUGCUAGAUGCCUGUUGGCAGUCAUUAAACCCUAAAAUCACCACCAAUAUUAUAAUAAAAAUAUCACAUAAAGCAUGUUACCUAGGUCGAUUUUGCCUUAUUUCAAUGAGUUACACGAUUUCUGUUGGAUUUCACUACGCGUAUAAUAAUUCACGAUUUUGACCUAUUUUUUUUCCAAUGAAAAUCUGGCAUUUUAAGCCAAAGGGCUGACCAGCCGACCAACAUACCUCAUGGGUCAACCGGCCUAAAGACUUGGCCGACUAGCCAACUCAGGGCUCGGCCAGCUAUUUGGAAACGUGUCCUGAUUGGCCACCCUCCUCACUGAGCCGGCUGGCCUGCGCAGCACGAUGUGAGGCUAAUGAUUGAUUGGUGGACCCCAUUCUGGGAGUGAUGUCUUCUCGGAUGAGUAACAUGUAGACUUACUUUUCCCUCUUAAUAUUUUAUUCAUACAUUAUGCUUAUUGCCAUACUUUUUUUCCUAGUUCUCUUCUAAGUUUAUUUUUUAUGCUUGCUUGAGUGGAUGCCUCAUUUAUAAUUAAGCUGGGAACAUGUAUAGUUCUAUGUGUGGGUGUGGUGCUUAGGAAUAGUUUUAUCUAGGAAGGCUGGUUGGGGAAACAGAGGACGUAGUUGGCCGGGUGCCGACAGCCUCGGUUGUCCUUUGAAGCCAGCCACGUUAACCCUAAUUACGCUGACGCAAAUAGGUAGACCAAUGCUUAAUGUGGAAAGCAGUCCUGUUUCCAAAGCAAGCAAGGAUAAGUGUAGCUAAAUGGAUUUCCUAGAAUGAAAGCAGUCUUGUGAUGUGGGGAAUAACCCGGGGACUUGAAUCCUGACUAAUUCGAUGAUUUCACAACCAUAUCAUCACAUUCACACAACAAAUACAUAUAUAUAGACAAUAAUGUUCACAUUUCUAAGUGUUAACAAAAGACACACAUCACAUUGGACUAACUGGUCAAAUAAAAGAGAGUCAAACAUAGCGCAAUAAGAGAACAAAAAAAUAUAUACAUUCUUUAGUAUGCCAUCUAACUAACUAGGAAUUACUACCCAUGUCGAAACGCGGAUGACCGCACCGAGAAGGCAAAUUCUUCUUUGCCAAUCGAAGAGCACAAACAAGAAUGAGAUAGAAUACAACCAAAAUUACAGAUGAAUGAUUAAGCUCACAAGUUGGGGUCUUACAAACCGAUCUAGCGGCGAAACUAUUCUCGACAGAAUAUUCUAAGCAAAACCCGACUCUAAACGAUGACGGCUACUUAAUUAAUAUGAUUAGGGACGUCCUAGGGUUGCCCUAGGGCGCACACCCUCAUGGGCUAAGCCCACGACACAAUUAUAAGGCCCAAAACCCAAAUCAGAUUUGGAUUGGAUGAGAUACAUAACUUGUUUUGUAGAUUCCCGACAGCUCGGUAGGAAUUUUGACGUAGGACCAAAACCAUCUAAAAGUAGACUCCAUAAGCUUUCCAACAAGUACUCAUAGGCCCCGAAAUUCCUUCUAGAUCAACAUCUAGGUUCGUUUGAAGUUGAUGCUGUCAGGAGGCCCGAAUCCGAAUCCAAAACGUGUAGAACUUGAUCUCUUGUCUUCUAUGGACCAAAAGUGACGUGGUGAGGUAGAAGUAGACUUGGAGAAGGUCUUGGUUUGGUCCCCAAUCAACUUCUUUGAUCAUCCAUGCAUUCGUUACGCUCGGUCUCUUUUCCUUCGCCCAAGCAAGUACCUCUACAAACAAAAACACAUCAUUGUGUAGCAACGUUUGUUCAAAUAUAUAACAAGUAAAUCUAAUGUAGAACAUAUGUACCUUUGUUUGAUUAAUAUAUAAGGUAUCCAUGGUUAUAUCCAAACUAGUAGUGUCCUCAUCACCUAGCUAGAAGUAUCAUGACGCUAAUGGUGGUGGAUAGAAAAUGGCAAAGGAAGGGAGAUAGUGCUGUUUCCAAAGGCAGAGAUGAAGUAAAAUAGGGUUCAAUGUAAAACAAAAGGGAGAGAGAGAGAGAGCUCAAAGUGAAAAGAAUGUGUAAAGGAGGGCAAAAGUGAAACUUUUGUAGUAAAGAGGUCCACAUUGCAAACCAUCUCUAUGUUUUAAGUUUUGAUGCAUGUAAAAAUAAUGUGACUGUGACAUCCCGGCCCAAUUUGGAUUAGGCCUGUGUGGCCCAUGUGAGUUGUGUGCGUAUGUUUAGUACGACCUUAUUAGUUUAGCAUGAGUGGAACUAACUUAUAAGGCCUCUUCCCUCCAACCAUACCCUUUUACACGAAGCGAGGACGAAAGUGUAAGUGGAGUGAUGUGUGUAAGUGGGCCCGCUACGUGGUUCUGGAGGGAGGGCUGUAACAAAUGGUAUCGGAGCCGACCCUUGCGAUUGCGCGUACGGGUCAGUGUGCGGGCAUAUGGCGCUGGCACUGGACGUACGGAUGUGCGCUUCGCGGUUGCGCGUACAGGUCAGUGUGCGGGCAUAUGGCGCAUGGCGCAUGUGGGCUCUGUGUGAGGCACAUGGCAUGGCAUAUGGCGCUAGCACUGGACGUACGGAUGUGCGCUGAGAGGGGGUGUGUUCCUGGACAGUUGCCUAUAUGCCUGUGUGGCUACAUGGGUAAGUUGGGCCGACAGGGAUGUCGGGUCCUUUGAGGGGGGGGGGGGUUGUGACAUCCCAGCCCAAUUUGGAUUAGGCCUGUGUGGCCCCACUCCCGGGUUAACCCUUUUAUACGAAGCGAUGACGGAAGUGUAAGUGGAGUGGUAUGUGUAAGUGGGCCCGCCCGUCGGAUGGGCUGGCUACACGGUUCUGUAGGGAGGGCUGUGACAGUGACGUGGUCAUCACUUCCAACUUAAAUGCUAAAAAUAUUGUUCUCAAUUUGUAACCUCCAUUGAGAGUAUUAUCAUGUUCUUAGUAAUUGCUUAUUGAUAUUUUUAUGGAAAAAGAGGUGUAGGCAAUCUUCUUCACAUUAUUCAUUACAGUAAGAUCGUUACACAUUUAGUUUACUUCUCGUUGAUCUGCCACUCAGCAUACUGUUGCGGCCCACGCCUCGGAGCAAAGACAGCCAUCUCAUCGCCGCGGUUGAACUUUACAUGCCUAGAGUCCUCCCUUGAAAGCCUAUAAGCAUUGGCGACCACGUCAACGGGUAGAGCACGAAGAAUGGAGGCCUUCCCUGCGAUCUGACUGUCGACAGCAUUGUGAUUGGUCUUGAAGGAUACCCAUGCAAAUCCUUCACGUCGAGCCUUCACCACCACUGCAAAGUUCUGUGGGAUCAACAAGAUCUGCUGUUGGUGAAGCUCACCAUCAAAGACACUCCUACCACGGUGAUCCACCACCUGGAUGUGCCCUUGGCCAGCGGUCACGUACAUCACCGUGUGUGCGUUUACCGUCCAAUGAGGAGUAAGCAAGGCAUUCUACAAAAAUGGAAGUGAAUCAACAUGACAAAUACUUGGCAUAAACUACAUACAUUAUGCUUACAAACUAUAGUAAUUUUCUCUUUGUUUAUACUCACAUUUUGGAGAACGAUUCUGGUGGCACUCAUCUGGAUGAUAUUGAGUAUUGGGAAAUUCUGGCUAUUGGCCCUUGUGAUCCUUCCACCAUGGGGGUUAAAUAUGUCACUGGAUUGUGGGUUGUCUAUGUUCUUCCUCAACUUAAAUGCACACAUAAUUUCAUCUAGGACAUUUUGCUGGCCGCAAGCUCCACCACUUCGCAACCAGGUGGGCUGUAGCUGCUUGGUUGGCAAGUAAGCUUGGGUUUGUUCCUCUUUCACUGGCUCAACUUGGAGAGAGGGCUGCAGUGCCUGGAGCCCAUUUUCAACUCUAAUGAUGGCACCUCUUGGGUCACUCAGGCCUUGGAGCCUCAACACAGUUUGCUUGCUCACACUCAGGGCUUCAGAAAGUAAAUCUGGGCUGAACCCAGCAAAGAUGUUCUGAUUUCUGCUCAGUUGUUCUGUCUGGUAUGAGUACGAUUGCUGCUGCCAGCUACUUCUAGGCUUUCCAGCCAAGAAAAACUCCUAACCCAUUUAUCAUUUCAUAGUAUACAAUACACAUUAGCAUUUUGUUAUCAUUGAAAUCAAAAUAGUGAUAUGGAAUAUUCAUUAUGCUUGUGUGGAGCAUAUGUACGCAUACCCUUCUUUUAGGAUCGAGCUGGUUGGCAUUGUUGCUGGUGUCGAUGACAGUGAAAGCAACCACAGGAGAAUCACCAUUGUUAUAUAGCCAGUGGGCUACUCCAGCUGGCACUGCGAUUACAUCACCUUGGUGGAAUUGGUGAAGUUGCUGGUGCUCGUCUCUCAUUUUUUGGAUUGAUGAUUGAGCCUCACCAGCUGUUGCCACCUCUUGCUCAAAGGGAGACCUAACUGACUGGAACGUCUCUGGACAACCAGGCAGUGCCAUCCCAAACACUCCCCGACCUGCAAUAUAUCCACUCAAUUAAAAAAACCCCACAUAUUAUCAAUUAAAAAUAAAAGAAAAUAGCUACCAUUUACAAUUGUUCACAAUAUAUUGGAGCUUGCUCAAACAAUAUACAGACCUUGGACGAUGUAGACAAGCUUGUGAGCAUUAGCAUACAUUGGUAAAACUAAGCCCUUGCUCUCGACGACUAAGCGCCUCACGCUCACUCCGGCACAACGGAACUCAUUUCUUGCCUCAAUGUUGUAGUACUCAGUGAAUCCAGCUUCAGAUCUCUGCUGGUGUGUUGCCUCAAGGGCGGUGAGGUGCUCAAAACGACAUUGAUGACGACUAUCUUGGUCUCCCCUAAAUCCACGUGGGCUCUGAAGUGGGCUUCCCCCAAAUGAAAAUUGUGCCAUGGACACUUGGAAGAAGAGAAGGAGGCCAAGGCACAAUGGAAGAAUGGUAGACAUGGAAGCCAUAGUUAUUCACUUAGUUUCCCACUGCUCUUGGUGAUGGAUGGACGAGUUGGAGGAGAGGGGCUUAUAUACACGGAGUAGACGAGAAUAUAUGCAAAAAGGGAUAACAAACUUACCUAAUCUCUUUAUCAUGCUGAUGUGUUUAUAGCCUAAAGGAAUAUCUAGUUUGUCUGUUGCAAACAAGAUGAUGCAAAAAGGGCAUAGGUAAAAACUUGUAAGUCAUUAUAUGCUUGAUUGAUCAUUAAACACAUAGAUACCAUUGUUUUAAAGUUGGAAAAGUGUUUUUUUUGUUAGAGUGAAGCAAGAGUUAUGCCAUGUUUUCUUGCUAUCGCACAUAGGAAUGCUGAAAAAGAUUUUGUAUUAGUGCCACCCAAGAAAAUAAAGACAUGCUUUUAAAGGUGAGAGUUAGGGAUUUGCCUUGUGAUUACGUGGUAUGACUAGAGGACAAUAGGUUAUUGGUAGUGUAGCUACAAAAAGAGAAAACAAACUACACUAAAUUCACAAUCAGGCUAGCAUAAGAUUGCACUCUAGAAACGUACAUGUACAUUGCUUGUGAGAUCAUGACAAAAACAUAACAACAAAAUUCACUUUUUGUUAGAGUGCCGUGAGAGAGUGUCUGACCAUAAUAGACACAUUUAGGUUAAGUGUUCAAAACUAAUUUGGGGUUAAGCUAGUGCACACUAGGGAAAUAAAAUAGACUAACAAAAACAUAGGUGAAUAUUAAAUUAUAGCCCAAAAUAAAUGAGUUACGAGUAACUAUUAAACUUUAAUAGACCAGCAGAAAUAUUGGUGAAUAUUUCAUUAUAGCCCAAAUUAAACGACAUUUUAGACAUGCAAUCAGCAGCAAGGUAAGCUAGACACUAUAAAACUCCUCUUCAGCUAUGGACAAACUUCUCUUCUUCAACCUCUCUCAAAAAAAGAACUUCUCUUCUUCAAUAUAUUUGAGAUGUAUAUCACAAGGGUAAGUACUUGAAGUACUCAACAACUUAUGUACAUGGAUCCAAUUAUAUAAAUGGAUGUCUACCCUACCAAGUUUGAGUUUUUUCCGCACAAAGCCACAUUUGCUCAAAGGGGUAGUGUUAAGCAAAGAUAAUUUACAAAAAGGAUUUGGAAUGGUAGUUCAAAAGUGUUGCUUUUGUAUGCAUGAUGAAACUAUCCAACACAUUUUCUUUGAGUGCCAUGUUUGCUAAAUUUCUAUGGAGAGUAGUCUUUAUCUCAUUUGGGUUACAAAGGCCACAUAGUUUUGUUCAUAUAUUUGGAAAUUGGCUAGUUGACAUGGACUCCCAGACAAAGAAACAUAUUCUAACAGGCAGGGGCUGAUGCAAGAUAAAAAAUGACUGGUGGCAUGCAUCUAUAACUCAUAACAAGUUAGAAAGCUAAGUGAAACUCACCUCAUUGCAGCUUAUAAAAACUUUGAGAUAUUACAUUAUCUUAAAUAGUAAUAUAUAGAUAUGCCUUCCAAAUAAUGUUAUUGCCUGUAAAGACAACAUAAAGUUAGCACAAGCCAUAUAAAUAUUACUAAAUGGUAAAUAUAGAUAGGGCAUACAGUGCAUCCUUUCCACGGUGAUACUUAGUGAUUGUGUCCGACAUAUCCUUUUCUACAAAGCAAAUGAGGCUAUGGCUGAGAUACUUGUCAUCCAUCUUGUUGCACAAAGCAUUCUUCACAACCUUCAUUGUUGAGAAACACCUAUCCGCAGUUGCAGAGGCAAUAGGAGAGCAAGAGAUAAUUUUAAAAGAUGAUAAACCAAUGGAUAGGAGAGAUGAUUCCUUGUAUCUACCUGUUGGUAUUUGAUACGGUCACAGAUAAAUCCGCAAGCGCACGGAUACCGCUGUAGCACUUCACCUUAGAGUAUUCCAAGGGUAUCUAAUCGCAGGGAACGUGUAUGUAUAUGUAGGAAUAUAAUUAUAUCCAAGCACAACUACUGGUAGGUUCAGUCUAGAGAUGAUUCCUAUGGGUUAAUUUACUAACUUAUGUUAAAUGUAAAGCCUCAUGGAUUGCUUCGAGCACCGGCUCUCCCCUAGUCUGCCAAGCUAAGUCUAGCCUGUAGCUCUAUGAUAUACCCGAACAUGGAGGGAUACAAAGGACGGACGGGACUGUCACCACCUUCCUCCUACCUCACUUUCCAUGGAGCACACUACAUAUGAAGAUAACCGCUGACCUAGACACCACGCUUAUGUUAUUGAUUACUACUCUAGCCUCGUGAAUAAACUUUCUUAUUUAUCCAGAGUCCUAGUGCUAGAGCGCUUAAUAAUAAUACUAAGUGACAAACCUGCAACGAUGGGAAUAUAUCUGACUUAAGCAAGUAAAUUAAAUACCAAAAAUAAAUCUUGAACACUUACUUUAUUAAAGAAGCAUCCACCGAGGUACAAGAGAGGAAAGAGUGUCUACAGCUCCUGCACUCCUUCGGACCUACCCCUCACUCUCUACCUAUUUUCUCCACUAACUAAAGUGAUGCCUAAAAUAUGAAAGUGAGUUGUACUCCACUUUGUUGUAUGUUUGAGAGUGACUUGAGCUCCUCCUUUUAUCUGGACAUAUGAUGGUUGUGGAGGUCGGUUCACCCACAACCGCCAUCAACAUCUAAUGAGAGGCCGCCAACCUUGGUUCGGCCGAACCAGGCAAACCGCCUCUGGCCACCAACCUUCUCUAGUGCAUGAUAGGUGAGCCCCUAUGACGGUUAGUGCUGGAUUAGCUCAAUUUUAGUCAGUUUUGACUGACAUUUGGCCCCCCAAUCCUUGUGCUCAUGUAUGAUUGGUCGGAGGUUCAUCGUCGCUUGGCGGGUUUGUUUUCAUCUAUAUAUCACCGGCAUACAUAUAUUUACCAAUACUAGUGGAAAUGGUUAGUAAUAAUCCCCUACCACUAAGUUUGGUAGUAUAUUCUGUAUUCUACCAUGAACUUUUCAAGUGUCUAUCAUGUCAUCUUGGGUGAUUGAAGAAUGGAACGGCCUUUAUUCCGAUCGCCUUUACCUCCCUCUAAUGAAUUAUCUUAGUUUUUUCUUUUUAUCAUAAAACAUAACUUUUUUACUUUACUCCUAAAUUGAGUCUCUCAUACCGUCAUUGUGUUUAAUUCUCGUCAAGGCAUUUGAUGUUGCCUUUUCUUAUCCUACCUUUCUAAUAAGGAUUAUGUAGAGCUCAGGGUAGGGAAUAAGAAUAACAUACUUGCAUCAAAUAUUUUGUAAAGUCAAAAGGUAGAUCCAAGGAGACUAAUAGACAUACAAUUAUGAUCAAGAUGUGCAUGUGUGUGGAAAGGGAUGUGUAUGUGGAAAGGUGGAAAAUGGGAUGAUAUCAUUUUCUAUAUGAUCCUCCUCCUUAUACUUUAUUUGGAGAACAUGGCUAUGUUCUAUAUCUUUUUUUUCAUCAUGCUAGAGAAUAUUUUUUCUUCUCUUGUGAGCAUUUUGAUUUUCUAACAUCAUCAUUUUUUUAGCUCAUCUCAUUUGGCAUGGAUAGUAGGAUGGAGAAUCAUAAUCAUGUUGGGUUUUUAUUUGGUGAAUGAAUGAUGGUUGAUGCUGAUUUCCAGAGAAGAUGUAUAUCAUGUGAUGGUGGAUGGAAUAUUUUGCUGAACCUCCAGUGUAGAGGGAGAGCAAUAUAUGGUGGAUAUGUGCACAUGGUGAUGAUCAUGAAAGUACGAAAAGAAUCUAAAAAGAGACUCAACCAUUUGACCAAACUGAAAAUGAUAACAAGCAGCAUAUGUUUUAAGGUUUAUCAAUAAGAUCGAUAUAUGGCUUUGGUAGGAACAAAACAUCGAUGAGGAGUACAUAAAUUUAUACUGUUUUCAUUUUAUAAUAUUCCCAAGGACUCAAUAGAAGAAAACAAGGGUCAUAUUAGCAAAUAAUCUCUCAUUCAUCAGUCACUUAGAUGACAUGUGUUUCUAAUGAUAUGUUCAUCAGUCACUUAGCAAAUAAUCUCUCAUUCAUAUGUUCACAAGCACACGGUAAUAUGCAAGGAACAUAGAGUAUGCAAGACAUUUUUAGUUAAGUCAUAAACUCUAGCUAAAUUAUUCGGGCACAUUUUAAAAGUUGAGUUUAAUUUUCAGAUAUGUUUCAUGGUACGGAUUAUCAAACUCAAAAUUUAGAGAGAUGAGAGGAUAAACAUGCAAAACAUCGUGUAGUGAGUGUGGCGACGAGCAACACUAUGUCUAAAGAUUUCCAUGCACGAAGAGUUUCACCCAAGAGUUGAAGAGCAAUACUAUGUCUCCUGCCUCAAAUUCCUUCACCAUGACUCGCCUAUCAUGCCAUCUUUUUGUUCUUUCCUUAUACAUUUUGGCAUCGUGAUAGGCUUUAUCCCUCAAUUCCUCCAUCUAUAAUAGCUACAACUAUCUAUGAUGUCUGGCUUCUCCUAGGUCAAUAUUCCAUGUCCGGGUGGCCCAGUGUGCUCUGUGCUCCAGCUCGACCGGUAAAUGAUAUGUUUUUCCAUAUACGAGCUGGUAAGGUGACAUGCCUUUAGGUGUCUUGUAUGCGGUCCUAUAUGCCCAAAAUGCAUAGUGUAGUUUGUUCUUCCAUGCCUUCCCCAUCUCAUGUAUGGUAUUCUGCGAAAUGUUCUUGAUCUAUUUGUUGAAUGUUUCUGCUUGACCACUUGUCUGGGGAUGGUAUGGGGUUGCAAUGUUGUGCUACGCCCCAAGCUCAUGUAAAAAGUUUUGGAAUGUCUUAUUAAUGAAGUGAGACCCUUUUUCACUUAUUACCAUCCGCGGUGUUCCAAACCGAGGAAGGAUGACCUCGUGGAACAUCUUGCUAGCGUGCUUGGCGUCGGUGGAGCAGCAUGACAUUGCUUACACACACUUGGACACAUAAUAGCCACUAGGAUGUACUCGCAAUAAUGGACUUAGGGAAUGGUCCCAUGUAAACGAUGAUCCAUGCAUCAAAUAGUUCCACUUGAAUAUUGUAUGUUAAGGGCAUCACAUCGUGAAUAGUGAUACCUCCGUGCUUCUAGCAUCCUGCACAUCUUUAAAUGAAUUCUUUUAUAUCUUCAUACAUGGUGGGCCUGAAGAAUGCACUCCGCCAGAUCUCUGCUUGCACGCGAAAUGCACCACAAUGGCCUUCAUAUGGUGAUGCAUGGAAUUUUUCAAUGAUCUGGAUGCUUUUUGCUGUCGGUACAUAUCUUUUGAGUAGUUUGUCUGAAUAGACUCGGUAUAAGUACGGUUCGUCCAACAUAGACUCGGUAUAAGUACGGUUCGUCCCACAAGUGCCUUCUGCUAUCAUAGAUGAUGCACCUUUUGUUCUCCCCAGUGGUACAUACCAUGCAACCAUAAAGUUCACAAUAUUUGCACACCAGGGUUGCGAGUAUGUUACUUUGGUAACAUGCCAUCCCGUAGAAAAUCAUUUAUUUGCUGUUCAUGCAUGUUAGUACUUAGCAUAUGCGACAAAUGAACUGCUACGUAAUUUUCUACUCCAAAUUUAUCUUUAAUUUCAAGAUCAAAUUAUUAAAGUAGGAGAACCCAUCUAAUAAGCCAAGGUUUUGAAUCUUUCUUAGUGAGCAAGUAUUUUAAUACAGCAUGAUCAGUGUAAACAAUAACCUUAGCUCCAUCUAAAUAAGAUCUGAACUUGUCAACUGCAAAAAAAAAGGGCCAGGAGCUCCUUCUCAGUUGUGGUAUAAUUUAAUUGAGCUCCUAUUAGCGUUUUAAUAGCAUACGCGAUAGCAUGGUGUUUUUAUCUUUAGUUUAGCUGAGAACGACACCUACAACAUAAUCACUAGCAUUGCACAUGAUUUCAAACGACAAUGACCAAUCAGGGGGUUGAAUCAUUGGUGCUGAAAUGAGUGCUUCUUUUAAGAUACUGGUGAACGUGCACGUGCAAAGCACAUUGACAUAUACGAUUGAAGAAAAAUACAUUCAUUGCUAAUGUACAUCUACAUAUACUCACAAAUUAAAGCUCAUAGUCAUUGAUAAAAAUAAAAGUAUUGUAAACAUUGUCUUGGUAAUUCAUUGAAUAAAACUAAUUUGUUAUUGUAUUACAACGUAACAAUUGUUUUUCAGUGAGAAACUUAUUUUCAUUAUAUUUAUGUUACUUUAUGCCAUGGAUUACACAGAUAAUGGUUAAGCCUGUAAGAGUUCAACUAUUAUGAGAACAAACGACGAUAGCUAACUCAUCAAAAAGCGAGAUAGCAGUCAUAUAUUAUCAAAAGCUAGUAAAUGUACAAAUACAGCUUAGAAUAGAUCAGUGAAUCAGCAGUGAAUGUUUCCCAAUUUUCCUCUUUCAUAGUCUGAAGAGCAUUAAAUAGUUUGAUUUGGAUAUAUAAACAUGUACAUGAGAUUUUAAUGAGCUAAUUUUCCACACAUUUAGCAGGGUAAACUCGGGCCAAAAUAAUAAUUAUGAUUGAAACAAAACUUCUCUAAAUUGUUUUCUUUGGGCAAAAAACAAAAUUCGGUUUGAACAUAUCAUAAAGCUCACAGAAAACUAAACUGCAAAAUCAGUACCUGCAAAGUUUAGGCGCAUAUAUUGUGCUGCAUUUGAAGUUACUUUAUUAUGUAUAGAUAGACAUUAUUCUGUCAUUUGAGAUUUGUAACAACAUGAUUGGGCAUGAUGAUCUACAUAGAAAAAUUCCAAUGGAAAGAUAAGUACAAACACUAUUAUGCCAUAUGUAUUAAUCAUAUCUAUUGCGCACCACCAUGAGGUCCCGGACUGAAUGGUAUAUCAUCACUUCAUUACACCCUUACUAUCCUUGAUUUUGGCACCAGAACAGGUCACAGGGCGAGAUAGAUUUUUUUAUUUGAAUGAGUCUGUGUCAUACAACAUAAGACUGUAAAAGGGCAAAAUUUAAUUGCUGGGUAGGUUCAACUCGAGAAGCAUAAAGUUAGUACAUAUUAUGCAUAGAUUAUACACCGCAACAGAAUAAAGAGGUUGCAGUAGAGGAUUGGAGGAAAAAAAUCUGUAGAGAUCAAAUAGUGCUUUUGGCUCAUUAAGCAACAAAAUCAGUUCAUUAUGUAUUUGGCUCAAUUACAAUCGGAUAAGUUUAUUAUCUUUUGAGGUAGUCAUAGAAAUAUUCUACCAAAAAAUAAGCAGUUUUCAGCGAUCAUUAUCUAUAUAAUAAUGCAAGCAUCUACAGAUCUAACUACAAACGAAAAAUUUCUCUCAUGCGUUUCAUUAGCAAUUUUAAAUUUAGAUUCUAUUAACAAUGCCUAACUGGUGAAAAUAAGGUACCUUUAAAUUUUUGAAGCUACUUAUUUAAAAGCUAGGAUCGAUCCAAAUCUCAAGCCCAACAAACCAUUUAGACUUACACCAUGCAGGCAGGGCACCAUGCAGAAAAAACACGUCAAAUUUUGUAAGGAAUAUAAAUGAAUCAGAGAGGAAUGAUGAUAGCUUGACUCACCAGAGGCUAUGAUGGCAGACCAACCGGAGAGCGAAUGGGCGAUAAGAGAUGUUUUCUCCUCCCUCUCAUGACCAGAAUAAAUAGGAGCCUGGUAGAUUUCCAAAUUUCAAUGGCAGUCGUAGGGAAGAAACCACCACCCAAUCUAUCGCAGUAGAGUAAGGAGGCGAUAAUAUUAGCAGCAACAAUGCAGCGGAUACAGACAAACGUCGUUUAUCAAAUCGACACUAAAGACAAAUGAAGUUGAUGAAAUCGAUGAGUCAGGUGAUGUGAAGUUGACUAACAAACCAAGAGAUAAGCUUUCAUGGAGAUGGAUUCAUCAAGAUAAACAUCUCCAACUACCUGAAUGAAUUCCAUGGAGAUGGAAGCAUAAGAGGUAUGCUUACAUUUCACAAAAUAAUUCUAUAGAAAUCUGAAAUGGAUGUUAUACCAGUGACUUGUAUAUACCUGCAUUCGUUUAUCAGCACUACUCUUUUGCCUCAGUCCAUUGACCUCAACCUCCACAACCUGAGAAAUGAAUGUAUUGAAGAAAUAAUUGUUUUCCGAACAGUAGUAUAUCACAUCUAAAGAAAAGGAAAGCGAGGCAGACCUAGUAGCAGGAGAUGUGAGAGUUACCUCUGAUCGGCUGACAAGCUGGUGAUAGAAGGGCACGGUGAGGACGUGAGGUUGGCAUUGAUCAUCAGGCCCAGCGUGCUGGUGGGAAGAGCCUCUUGAACUGCUCCUGCGCUGCAGAGGAAGCAUGGAGAGGUGCACCUUGCGGAAGUCCUUCUGCUACUGCUCGUGUGGAGCCACCAACAUUGUUCUCCAAUGUAGACUAAGACAAAAUAUAUCAGCAGUCCUUACUACAAAAAAAAUAAUCAACGGAUGUAUAAACAUUUUGGUGGUCGGUUCUGAUUUUGAAAUUAUCUGGGUAAAAAUAUGUAACCUAUAUCAAGUCAAUUUGAACAUAUAAAAGUAAAAUCAGAAACAAUACUUGGAGUUGAGAAAGAUCAAAGGCAGUUUAGUGAAUUGAGGAUAUGUGCGCGCUUCUCAAAUUUGAGCAUGACGACCUAGAUUAUCCAUCAGAUUAAUCAGAUAGGUAAAUCUCACUGAGUUCAUUCAAAUCUGGACAGUUUAUGACCUGCAAGAAAUUAAUAUCUCAAUGAACUUGCAAUGGUUAAUCAAUUUAACUGAAAAUACUUGUAGUAGCAGGUUGUGUUAUCAAUUUUGUUAGGGAAGAAAGAUCUGAUAGCCAUAGCGUUGAAAGGCUUGAAGAGCUUAUACUAACAAAACUGAGAUUGCCGCAGCCAUCCAUCUAAUUUGAGAACUGGUAGAAAUCAUUUAUCUGAGACAAAUAUAUUUAGCUCAUCCCUGUGUUGACAAUCACUGAAGUCAAUUAAGAGAGCACUCAAGACUUAAAAUGCAGAUUGAACUGAUUAGGGGGAGAAUAGUUAGUACCUGGUUUAGACUUUAGAGGGAUGUCGUCAUGUCGUCUUCAGCGAGCGAGGUCAUUCCAGUGGACUAUGGCGUGGUACGGCAAGGCGGCGAGGGCAGGACGGAGCUGAAGGAGCAGGCGAGACGGUGUCGGCGCAAAUAGAUCCCCCCUCUCCUUCCUCUCCAUCGCGUCGCGAGUAGGGAACUAAGGACACCGGCUGUUCGGCCCGCGCGCGAGGAGGCGGUGCGGCAGGGUGGGCAGAUCCCGUCUCUCCUUCCUCUCUGUCCCAGUGUGAGCAGGGAAGCAAGAGGCCGAACAGCCGGGGUAGGGCGAGGUGGCUCCGGCGGGCGCGCGCAAGUCGGCGGCGGUGGCGCGAAGGGCAAACGGCGGCGACGGCGCGAGGAGUAGACAGCGGCGGCUCCAUGCGGCAGGGCGAACGGGAUGAGAUUGUGAAGAGGUGGAGGAGGGAGUGGGGAACCGGCGGGCGUGCACAAGGAGGCUGCGGGGUAGGGCGCGUGGUUCCAGCGGGCGUGCAGUCGGAGCCGGCGGCGGCGGCCGGCUGUCCUGCGGGCGCGCGCAGGAGGCGGCGAGGGGAGGUGGGGAGGAGGCGAGGCGGCGGAAGGAGGAGGAGGAGGCGCGGUGGCAGAAGGCGGAGAAGGCGUAGGAGGAGGAGGCGCGGGCGGUCUGGGCGACGAUUUCCUUUUUUUUCCGAUUUGGCGAAGAGAGGGAUUGAGAAGCGCUAAUCGCGGGGUUAAUCCGGCGCAGAUUGCAAUCGCGGUGUUAAUUGCACUAAACAACUCGUGCUUUUUAUAUUAGUCUAGAUUAAUAGAUUUUAAACAAUCAUCAUGAAAGUUAAAGAGAACAUUCUUAGCUAACAAGCUAGUUAGGGGUCUAGCGACUAAAGAGAAAUUUUUAAUGAACCAACGGUAGAACCCCGCAUGACCCUAAAAGCUACGAACUCCUUUAACAUUGGUGAGAGGUGAAAGCUAUUAAACUACUUCAAUUUUUUUUUGCUCUAUCUACCUCAACUCCCCUUUCGGAGACUCAGUCCUAGGACUAUACCUUCACGGACCAUGAAGUGUCACGUUUCCCAAUUAAGUACCAAGCCCUCCUCUUGACAUCAUUGCAAGACUUUGUCUAUUUUUUAUAAACAAUGAUCGGAGGUUUUUCCAUUGAUGAAAAAAAUCAUCCAUGAAAAUAUUCAUGAUUUCCUUGAUCAUGUCAGAGAAAAAAACAUCAUGCUCUAUUGGAAUGACGCGGGUGCGUUACUGUUGACGGUCGUUAUUGAUCAGUUUCGCCCGUCAAUAUUACCAACAUAACGGAGACUAAGUUAUGCGUGCAACGCAUAUUAUCUCAAAAUAAGAUAUAUUCCACUAGCACUAGGCUUUCUAACCUCUUGCAGCGAAUAAACAUAAAUUGAAGGCGAUUUGACAGCAAAAUGGACGAUCAAUCAAUCGGGCGCUGUCGAGAAUCAGACUUAUAGAAGGAUGGGCCAAUAACUCAGAAAUGACAUGACCAAAUUGGGCCAAAAUUUACAAGUCUGCGGAGAGUAGCAAAAGAGGAGGCCACCUGCCAGAUUUGGGCCAGGCCGGCCUAGCCCAUGGUUGGGCUGAACCCACCGCGGCUCCGUUCAAUGCAGGUUUUGAUGGACGGUCUGGAUUGCUCCCCUAUGGCGGUUGGAGGGUAUUACCGACCUUUCCAACUGCCAUAACCGUCUUUCUCAAGCUAUAUAAAGCCCUCUCAUCCUCCAUUUCAAGACACACCUCAAGCAUGAAGCUUCAUACAUUCUCUCAAGUUUAGUAUAGGGCACGUUUGGAUCCUAGGCUAGCAACUUCCUCUCCUUGCUAGGCUAGGCUGGUCAUUUGGUAACUACUUUAAAAACUAGCUUUGCUUAGCAAACUAGCCUGCCUUGGCUAGAAAAUCUUUGACCGUCAAGGAGAGCCAAAAUGGCUCUCCUUCAUCGGCAAGCUCCUGAACAAGCAACCUUGCUUUGGUGGGCUAUAGUCUGGUUGAGCUAGGCUAGUUGAGCAAAAACUAUCUAGAGAUCCAAAUGUGCCCAUAGUCUCUAGAGUAUACUGGAAUAGAAAUAGAAAUAGAAUCUUCAGUCCUCGGAGUCUUCGAAAGUUCUUCAGGUAUGGCUCUAGUAGCUUUUCCUUCUUUUGUAAGACUUGUACUAUUUAUAGAAUAUUCUUCUCAAUAUAUUUACGGUACUUUACUUCAUUCUGAUUAUUCGAGUACUGACUUUCCGAUAUAUUAUUCGAGAUAUAAUUGUCUAGCUAGCUUACUCGGGAGAUGCAAUGGUGUAGGUAUAAUGUUCAUUUACAUGAAUGCUCUAUGUCAUGACGAUAAUUAUAGAGUAGUAUUUGGUAGCAUAAGCGAGGUGUUUAGGCUAUUGAAUAUCAUUAUUUGGGGUUAUAUGCUGCGGAUACGUCGAGGUGGGCCACUGAUUAUGACAGCUUAGUAUGGAUAUUCCUCUACGCGUGUAUAUAAUCCUAAGUUACUUUCCUAGGGAGGGUACUCCUCCGUAUUUAGCCCCGGUUAGAUGGCCAUGACUGGUUGUCGUAAGGAACUCGGCAAUCAGGAGUGGUCUCUCGAAACACCAAGAGGGCAUCGUAAGGGGGGUAUUGGCUGUAUAAUUGUAUAGUAGAUAAGAUUGACUAAAGUAUAUGUAUGUAUAUUAGAAGUAUAGGAAAUGACUCUAUUCUUAUUCUUUCCACUUAGCCUAAAUUAAUAUGUAUGAGAAUUGUGAAUGCUUCUGCUUAGUGUCACCCUACCCUUUUGAAUUGAACUAACCCCUGCUUAGACUUUGAUUAUUACAAGUAACAUAUAAAUAUUAGCUUGGUUAUCUCUAUUAUAAUCUUUCCACGGGAUUAAACAAAUAAGAUACCCUUGAAAUACUCUUGGGUGAAAUGCUACAAUUGUAUAUCCGUGCUCUUGCGGAUGAAAUAUGUAACCAUAAUGUACCAAGAGUGUUUCUGUGCCAUUGCUAGGAAUUAUAUUUCUAGUAAUGUCAUUAAGAAAUACCAACAGUUACACAGCCUGAACAACAUCCGUCGGUAAGCAUACAUUCCACAAGGACACAUGAACGUUGUCUUGCUUUUAUCAUUGGAAUGGAUGGGAAUUCGAUGAUAGCUAGAAUAGCCAUAAAGGAAACGGAAAAAUGAGUGAUUCACCAGCAACUCUAGCAUAUCAUCAAUGAAGGGCAUGGGGAAGUGGUCGUUCCUAGUAGGGGUGUGAUCGAGUUUUCAAUGACCGUCAUACCUCCCGGAACAACUUGGACUGGGCUAACCCACUCACUAUAUGGGAUGGGAUAAAUUAUCCCGACAUGUGUUGGUAUUUCUUAACAACAUUACUAGAAAUAUAAUUUCCCAACAAUGGCGCUAGAAAUGAUCCUGGUAUAUAAUGUUUAUAUGCCACUUGUAUGAUCAGAGUCUAAGCAGGGGUUAAUAUAUUUAUAAGGGUAGAGUGACACAAAGCAAAGAACUCAUAUCUCUCAUUAAUCAAUCCUACGCUAUGUGGAAGAAGAAAUAGAAAAGCAAUCAAUUCCUAUACUUCUAGUAUGCACUCAAUCUUAGUUUAUAUCUGUUAGUAUACAGCUAUGUAGCGAAUACCCCCUAAUAGUGUCCUCCCGGUGUUUCGAGAGACCACCUCGGGUUGUCGAGUUCCUUACGACAACCCAUCAUGACCGUCCAAUCGGGGCUAAAUACGGAGGAGUACCCUCCCAAAGAAAAUUUCUUACGAAUAUAUACUAUCGUGGAGGAAUACUCAUACUGAGCUGUCACCAUCAGCAACCCACCUCGACUGAACCGUAGCAUAUAUGCCUAGAUAGUGAUACUUAAUAUUCUAGACACCACGUCUACAUUAUUAAAUACUACUCUAUAUCCCCCGAGAUGACAUAGAGCAACCGAGUAAUCGGAUACUAAACCCACACUAUUGCACCUCUCUGGUGGGCUAACUACACAAUUAUACCGAUACAAAUAUAAAGUAAAGCCGAUACUCAAAUAAACUAAAGUACCGAGAGUAUAUAAAGAAUAACAUUUCAUUACUUCCGAAAGUCUUACAAAAGAAUAAGAAAUAGCUACUAGAGCCAUACCCGAAUUCCUUCGAAGACUCCGAGGACUCCGAGAGCUAUUCUAUUCUACUCCACUUAGCACUAGAAUACUAAACUAAAGUAUAGGGAGAAAUGUUGAGCUUGCUUGGGUGUGUUGAGAAUGAAUUGAGCUCCUCCUUAUAUAGGCAGGUAUGACGGUCAUAACUGAUGCUAAUUGUCUGAAAUGCCUCGCAACUGCCUUCAACAAGUGAUCCUGGACGUCCACGUGUAAGGCCAGCCUAAGCCAGCGCUGCCAGGGUUCCUGGGCUGGCCCAGCAGGCCUCCAAACUUUCCCAGGUCACUGACAGGUGGGUCCCUAUGAUGGUUGUGACAGUUAUGGCGGUUUCCGGGACAUGUGGGCCCAUCUUAUCCUUAAGCUUGCUUAGGAGUGAAAUGUCUUCAUUUCUUCUCCAUUUAUGUAUUAAUAUCUGCAAAUAAAUAAUAUUCUAGGUACAAGUGGAAAUAGAUUAUUCUAAAACAAAUAUGAAUUACAAGCAUAGCUAGUUCUCUGUUAUUUUAGUUAUAUUGACGGUCGAAAUUGGUCUAUAACGACCGUCAACAGCAUGUUGGAGUUUCAACACUUUUAUUUUCACGACUUUUCUGUUGGUGGCUGUUAAAUACCAAUUUUAUGCUGCCAAUACCUGGAUAAACAGAAGAAAUAAAACAUCCAACAUAGUGAAAGGGUUUAAUUCUAACAUAUUCCAUGAGUGUUGGUGUAUAUUUGAGUGCAGGUAAUAGACCACCAAAGUUGGGAUGAAAUCCAGACUUAUGUAAAGGAAGAAUCCUAUCCAUACAAAGAGUAGGCCUUGAGUUACAUCAAAACAUCAUCAAAUGGGCCAAAUGCACGAGAAAUGGAUAAGGCAGAGCAAGGAGGAGAACCAGACCAGAUUUGGGGGCAACCUGGCCCAGCCUAGGUUCGACCGUGGUGAUCGCCGUUGGAUCCAGGUUUUCGUAUGGAUGCUCCAGAUGCUCUCCGGAUGGCGGUUGCGGGGCAUUUUGGAAAUUUCGCGUUUUCCAACCGCCAUUACCGGCCUAUAUAAGGACAUCACUUCAUCACUUAUCACACACACUCCAAGCUUGAGCUGAAUUAUAAGAGGCUCUAUUGUACUUUAUUGUAUACUAGAAUGAGGGAGAGAGUAGAGUAGAGAAAGUCGGAGGAAUUCCAGAGUUGUCGGUAAUCGUCUUCUUAUUUCUUUUACUCUGUUAAUUACUCUACUUUAAUAGAAAUAUCAUUCCGAGCAAUUAAGAUUUAUUCGGUGAGAUUUAUCUCUUGGUUAGUUCCUAAUUAGCGCGCAGGAUCAUUGAUCACUAUAAUCCAGUAAAAAUAGUGGUUGCUUUAGUGUUUAGCUAACGCUAAAGUAGUUAUUAGCUGCGUAGACGUGGUGUCUGGGUAGUUAAUUUCUGGUGGUUUCUUCGUAUCCCACAGAAUGUUUGAGGUGGGUGUAGAGGUGGUGACAACCCUCAAUUACACUGAAGUCCUCCCUGUCUGGGUACGUAAUAGAGUCAUAUCUGGUAGCAGUGGGCUAGCCAGUGCCCGAAGUGUCGUGUUAGGAUUAAAUUGGGCUUUCCCUAGACACUGUCUCUCACUAGUAAAUCCUCUCUACCCUUAGCCUAUCUUAACUUCGUGUCCUUGGAUGAACCUGGAGAAGAGCUGACACACAAGUUCCAUAUGGAAAUUGAUACCUUGGAAUACUCCCGGGUGAAGUGCUACAUCAGUAUCUUCCGUGCACUUGCGGAUUUUAUCUGUAACAUUAAGAAAUACCAACACUCUCUCAUGGCAUUAUUUAGUCUUCAUUGUGGCUCUCGAGAGGGCGCACAAGAAGGAUCUAAAGGAAUGCGAUGAGUAUAGUGAGUUGCCUUGAAUAGAGCGAUGUUUUUCUAACACGGCUGUGGAUUUGGAGGUCUUGGCAUCGGAAAGCUUGUCCCUUAUGAUGACAGCCAACUCCAUAUCACCGUGCAAGAAGUCACAGAAAAGGUGUCACACCCGGAGUUUCCCCUUUUCCGUAGUUUCCAAUUCACCAAUAAAUUGUCUAUAGAACUUACUUUCGUUAACCAGGAGAAAACCUUAAUUAAUAAUGUAUUUGAUAAUUGGAAAUGUCAGGGAGAAUCUUUUUCGAGUUCUCUUUGCUCUAAAAUCAUUAAUAGGACUUAAAGCUGAAUAUUCAGAGCAUCGGAGUUAAUGUUUUUAAUUUAAAUUGUCAAGAUUUGAAUGAAUAAUAACCUUUCUCUCCUGCCUUUGGUCAUGAAUCGUGCCCGAUUCACUCCUUUCUUCGUCCGCGGUUUCAUUUUGCAUGAUGAGCCGAGUCCGAAUCCGUUCGCGGGUCCGUUUCCGUUCUUUUCCUAAAAUGGCACCGCAUUUCUUUUCCAAUUUGGGAAAGUCCUUAUCCUAAUCCUUUUCCUAUUUUUCCUCCCCUCCUCCCACUCGGCCGCUGCUCCCCCUCUCUCCCUGCGCGCGUGCCUCCCCUCCCCCUGUGUCCGAGUCGGCCUCCUCCCCCUCUCCCUUUUGCCGACUCCAGCCCCACUAGUCCCACCUCCCUCUAUUUUUUCCCCUCUCCAAUAUAAGUUAGAACACCCCUUUUUUCCUAUUCAAUUUUAUUUGUCCCUAGCCCUAGCCACCGCCGUCCGCCCUAGCCCCACCGUCGCCGUUGCCGCGCCGGUGCCGCAGCCUCCUGCCAGCGCCGUCGUCGCCAUUACAUCUUCUGUAAUCCGUUUUCCCUCUCUGUGCCAUGGCUACCGCCAUUAUCUAUCUCUAUUCUAAUUUAUCUCCGUCCUAGGUUUUGAUUUGGCGUCGCCGUCAUCUCCGCGUGUUGCUGCUGGACCGUCGUCGUCGUCUCCUCGCCGAUCAUCUCAGUUUGGUGAGGAACCUAUCCAUAAUCUCCUGGUUUAGGUGUUAAUUUUUUUAGCAUCGUUGUCGUAACCCUAAUUGUUUAGUCCUGCUAAACCCUAGUGUCGUUGCACCGCCGCCACCCUAGCCGCCACGCCGCUGCCCUAGCCGCCGCUGCUGUGCGCCUAGCCGCCGCCAAGCCGAGCCACCGCAGCCGCCACCUUAGCCGUCGCCACCGCCGCUCUUCCGCGUCGUCAUCAUGGUUUGUCGCUACCAGUAGCUCGGUAGCCGAGUCGCAAAGCCGUAGGUGCAUCCCUAAUCUCCUACCGGCCUAUCGUUUUCCAUACCAAGUCUCAGUCGUAAACUGUAUAUAGUUUACCGAUUUAGCCAUAGUCAUUCUGAGCCGCCGGUUCCGUUCGCCAGUUCGGUUGACCGUUUGGAUGGUCCCAUGUCACGAAGUAUUCGCUUGUUGAGUCGUUAAUUCGUGAGGCUUGCUUACCGAAGGUAUAUUUCCAUUGAUCUAUUUAUCUAUGGGCAAUAAUAUGUAAUAAAUGAUUAGGGUUUUUGGGUUAUUAGUAAUAACGCGAUUCAUAUUGUAAAAUUCACAACUAAAUAAUUUGAGCUCCGUUUUAACCCAUUCAAGUUGCAGUGAAUUUGUUAAAAUGUAUAGAAUCCAUUAAAAUUGGUUUCUUUUGCUCUUUCAGUAGCCUUGUUGCUUGUAUUUCUUGUAUGCUUUGUUUAUCGUUUAUAUUCCAUCAGUUCCGGUGAUCCAGUUUAUUUCGAAGUGGUUGCCGAGGUUCAGUCAACUCAAGAGCAAGGCAAGUCAUACAUACAACAUUGAUCAUGUUGAAUCUAUUUUACAAAUCCCCUGCUUUCUAUUAAAUUGCAUUGUUUUAGAAUGUCAUGUGGGAUGGAUGCCUAUCAUACUGAGCCUGUUGAAUAUCUUAUGCCAUUAAUAACUUGGGAUAUAAUUGAUUAGAUGAUUGGUUUAGGAAUGCUUAGCUAUGCUUAGAUCAAUUAGCUCACAAUGGGAUUCAUUAUAAUUUAGUCCUUAAUUAUAUUAUGAUGUACCACCAUGGUUAUGGUUUAAUUAAACUAAAAUAUGCUUUAAUGGUGGGCUAUAGGUACAUGCAUGAUUUUGGAAGUUGUGCCCAUGACAAUUAAGGACCGGUUCUCGGGAAUCCCUGGAAGAUAUACUCGUACUUACCCUAGGCCAGCGUGGGCUCUAGGCUGAAUCUAGAUUAUAACUUAACCUAGCUGACAUACCAUGGCAAGGGUAGAGACGAUGGUGCAGUUUGGACCUGGAUAUUGGUCUCUGUUGUUUCCGGAUUUACCUAGGCACGAGAGGGGACUGCCCAACUUGGAAUAAGUAGGGGGUGAAACUUGAGGUGGGUAUGUUCGGUUAGGGAGAGUUAUAGGAAGGGUUUUGUCUCGAUAUCCCCCUUUGCAGCAUCGUGGUGGUAUUUCGGGGCAUGGUAACAUGUGCGGAAUCGUGUCUUGUGAGUAAAGUUGUACACCUCUGAUCAGAGUUAAAACUAUUCGAAUAGCCGUGCCCACGGUUAUUGGGUGGCCAACCAGCUCACCGUGAUUAGUCCUACUAUAAUAAUUUGACUUAUAGAACUAGUGUAGUUUAGGUAGUUUGGUUGGGCGUGUUGCAACGUAGAUUUAACGUUGUACAGUGAUGAUUUAAUACUGCUUAACUAUAUACUAUUUUACUUAUUCAAAAUAUGAUUUAUAAAUACUUCUUUUAUUGCAAAUAUUUAAUGAGCCAUUCCUUUGAGAAUACCUUGCAUCAUACCUUCCUGUUGGUAUGACUUGUUGAGUACGGUGGUUGGUACUCAGUCUUGCUUUAUCCCCCCCCCCCGAGAAGCAGAGAUUGGUUCAGAUGGUGAGUUCUAUGAGGAUUGAGCUUGUUCCAGACGUCGAGGAUUGCAUGUGGUUUAUGGAGGAAGCUUCGCUUUGGUCAUGAAGAUUAAGUCUAGUUUAUUUGUUUUUCCGCUGCUUUUGUGAGUUUUAUUUUAUUAUUUUUGUAAGACGUGGAACUGUUUAUCAAAUUGUCGUUUGUGUACUAUGGCUGGUCCUGGAUAGAGAUUUAUUACAUAUUCUGCUUGAAAUUCGGGUUAGCGAAUUUCUGGACGUGACAAAAGGCCUGAAGGAAGAGGUUUGAGCUUAACCAGAGGUUGAGAAGGCGAAUUAGUUUUGGGUAACUCAAUCACCUCUCUAGGAUCGUCCUCCUCGACGAAUGCACUGGCAUCAUCUUCGAGGAGGGAUUCGGGGGACACAAAUGGAGAGAUAGCCAACAAUUCCUCAAUUGGCUCGAAAUCGGGAAUGGAUUGCAUCAAAGAAUUUUUUGAUCUCAAGAUCGGGACGGAAAACAUAAUUUCCCCGAGUUUGAUCUCAAGGACUCCAGUAUGCUACGCCUCAAGGAGAAGUUUAUCUAUGGUUUGGGCUAUGAGAAGAUCAAAGUCAGAGACAUCGAAAAAAUGGAAGUCUAGGAUAUCUUUGACAUAAUUGUGCCGGAUCGGCACACUGUGUAGAAUCCCAUAACCUUCGAUAAUAGGACUAGAUGAGCUCCGAAGGUUUUGUCUAUUGGUGCCAAUUGUUCAUCCCCUAAACAUUUUAUUGCAAAGGUAAUGUUUGCACCAACAGUGGGAUUAUAAAGAGUUCGCCCCAUGGCCUCUAUCGUGAGACAUGAAAUAGUUAAGGAUGGAGAGCUAAUCUGAAUUACUUCAGAAGAAAGCUUCAGCUCCCUUAACAACUCAUCACUUAUGAUGGUAGUUAAUUCAUGCACCGUCUCUUUGAGGAGAUUCUCCUCGAGUGGUGUGGUAGAACUAUGCGUUACCGGUGGUCUCUUUUGGCAGGAAUAGUUCGAGGUGUUUCCAUAAUCUUCAAAAGAUAACCCUUAAACUGGAAUGGAAAUUCUAAAGGCUGAAUUUCAUCUACCUUCGGUUCCCAAGGUUCAGGUGAGGAUUCAACGGGUGAAUCAUGGGAUGUGGAGGUUAUUUUCUCCAAUUCACCAUGUAGUUUUCUCACGGUAAGGGUGUACCAUUGCUUCGCCCCCUCUAUAAGAGAGAAGGGAAACAAUUUCCACUUUAAUGUUUCUUGUCUCAUGCCCACGAUUGUCAAGCAUGAGCACAAUUGCUAAAACUCAUGCAAAUGAUGUUAAGGAUUUUCGCUUUCAUGCCCCGAGAAGGAUUGUUCCCGAACCAUAUAUAUAAAGCUAACACAGAGUUUAUUGCCAGAUGAACGAAUUGGUUUUGAAGAAAAAAGUGACGCACAAAACUUGCCCUUUGGAGCAUAAAUGUUUUAAAUAAAUUGAUGCUCCAUGGAAGGUAAGAAUAGAAAUAAAUAAAUGAAAUGGAGAAGAUAUGAAGAUGAACCAAGUUCGAAGAUGAUACAUCAAUUGUUCCGUGACAAUGACGCCAGAAAUACAUGUUGGUAUUUGAUACGGUUAUAGAUAAAUCCACAAGCGUAUGAAUACUGCUGUAGCACUUCACCUAAGAGUAUCGAAGGGUAUCGAAUCACAGGGAAUGUGCGUUUAUAUCUAGGAACAGAAUUCUAUGCAAGGAUAAUAGCUAAUGGUAGGCUUAGGCUAUAGAGGACUCACUGGGAUAAUUUACUAAAGUUAAGUUAAAGGUAAAACCCUAUCAAUUGUCGCAGGCAUAGUCUCUCUCAUGGUCUACCAAGCUGAGUAUGGCUUGUAGUUCUAUGAUGUACCCAAAUGUGGAGGGAUACACAAGACGGACAGGGUUUUCACCACCUGUUGUCUACCUCACUUUCUAUGAAGCACACAAUAAACGAAGGUUACCGCUAACCUAGACACCACGCCUAAGUUAUUGAUUACUACACUAGCCUCGUCCUGACUUCCUUCGCUCGUUGCAAAACUGUCUUGGAAAUCGAAGAUACAGCUGAUGAAUCUCCAACCAUCAAAUAAGAGCAUUCAAACUCUAUAUCCCAAGAUUCGACUGUUGAGUCCUCACCCAAAUCACGGGAACCGAAGGAAGAAGAAAUUUAGCCUUCAGAAUUCUCCUUCCAGUUUGUGGGUGAUCAUUUUGAAGAUUAUUGAAACACCUCAAACUAUUAUGCUCAAAAGAGACCACCAGUCCCACGUAGUUAGCAUGAAGCUCUCGAGGAAAAUUUCCUCAAAAAGACAGUGCAUGAACUAACUACCGUCAUGAGCGAUUAGUGGUUAAGGGAGGAGGAGCUCUGUUCUGAUGCAAUUCGGAUUAGCUCCCUGUCCUUAGCCAUUCCUUGUCUCGUGAAAGAGGCCUUGGUGAAAACUCUUUGCAAUCCCACUGUCAUUGCAAGCAUUAUGUUUGCAACCUUCGCACUAAUGUGCUUAGGGGAGAACCAUAAGGACCACAGAUAAAACCUUUUGGGGUCUGUCUGGUCCUGCCAUUGAAGGGUAUCGAAUUAUUAGCAGAGUGCCAAUCAGGCACAAUGAUGUCGAGAUCAUCCUAGACUUCCACGUGUUCGAACUUCAUGACUUCGACCUCCACAUAGACCAUCUCAUAGAAAAGAUCUACUUAGACGAGCCUCGAACCAGAGUCCUCGACAUCAAACUCGGGAAUCUGACGUUUUCUUUCAUGAUCUCACAAUUGAAAAACUCUUUGGAACCUAUUCCCGAGUCCGGGCUAAUUGAGGAAGUGUUGGUUGUCUCUUCAUUUGAGUCCCUUGGAUACCUCCUUGAAGACAAUGCCAUUGCAUUUGUCAAGGAAGAUGACAAUCCUGAAGAGGUGAUUGAGUUACCCAAAACCGAUCCACCUUCACAACAUCUUGUUGAGCUCAAACCCUUGCCUUCAGACCUAAGCUAUGCUUUUCUACAUGAUGACACGGGGUCGCCCUUGAUCAUAAGUGACAAACUGACUGAUGACGAGACCUCCCAACUCAUAGCAUAGGUAGAAAAGCAUCGCUCUAUUCUAGGCUACUUGCUUCCUGAUCACGAAGGGAUUAGUCUGGCUCUCUGCACACAUCACAUUCCUUUAGAUCCUUCUUGUGUGCACUCUCAAGAGUCGUGAAGAAAGAGAUCUCGAAACUUCUACACACCAGGAUAAUCUAUCUAGUCCCGUGUAGUAAGUGGGUAAGCCCAGUUCAGGUUGUGCCUAAGAAAGGAGGCAUGACGGUCGUUGAAAACUCUAAAAAUGAGUUAAUGCCACAACAAACCAUCACGGGAUGGAGAAUAUGCAUAGACUACAAGAAGCUCAACAAGGCUACUAAGAAUGAUCAUUUCUCGUUGCCCUUCAAUGAUAAAAUGCUAGAGCGGCUGGCGAACCACUCAUUCUUCUGUUUCCUUGAUGGCUAUUCUGGCUAUCACAAAAUUCCCAUCCAUCUAGAUGAUCAAACAAGACAAUGUUCACGUGUCCGUACGGACCGUACGCUUAUCGACAGAUGUUGUCCGGUAGCGCAACGCAUCUGCGUCAUUCCAACGGUGCAUGAUGUCCAACUUUUCCAACAUGAUCCAAGAAAUCAUGGAAUUUUUCGUGGACGAUUUCUCCGAGAGGGUCGUAGAGAUGGACAAGGCUAAAAGUCAGGUAAUCUAACAGCUUCCACCUCCUACCAAUGUUAAGGGAGUGUGUAGUUUUCUGGAUCAUGUGGGGUUUUAUCGUCGGUUUAUUAAAGAUUUCUCUUUAGUAGCUAGACCCGUCAUCAGUUUGCUAGUUAAGGAUGCUCCUUUUAACUUUGAUGAUGAGUGUAUAAAAUCUUUGAAUAUCCUAAGAGAAGCACUCAUAUCAGCACCAAUCAUUUAACCUCCUGAAUGGUCGCUUUCGUUUGAAAUCAUGUUCAAUGCUAAUGAUUAUGCUGUAGGGUCCGUUCUCGGUCAAACGAAAGAAAAGAAACACCAUGCUAUCGCAUAUGCUUGUAAAACGUUGGCAUGAGCUCACCUUAAUUAUGCCACAACUAAAAAAGAGCUCAUGGCUGUACCUUUUGCAAUUGACAAAUUCACAUCUUACUUAAUUGGAGCUAAGGUAAUAGUCUAUACUGAUCAUGCUGCCUCGAAAUACAUGCUCACUAAGAAAGAUGCAAAACUUCCUACACCAAGAAUUUGAUCUUGAAAUCUAUAGAUAAAAAUGGAGUAGAAAAUUUCGUAACAGAUUAUUUGUCGCGUAUGCAAAUCACUAACAUGCAUGAGCUAUCGAUAAAUGAUUUUUUGCGGGAUGAUAUGCUGCUGAAGGUAACAGACUUGAACCCCUGCUAAGCGAACAUCGUGAAUUUCAUGGUUACAGGAUAUGUGCCACCUAGGGAGAACAAGCAAAAGCUCAUCUAUGAAAGCAGAAGGCAUAUGCCUGAUGAGCCAUAUCUAUAUCGAGUCUGCUCAGAUGGUCUACUCAAACAAUGUGUACCAAUAGUCGAAGGCAUACAUAUCAUUGAGAAAUGCCACACGGCACCAUAUGGAGGACACUAUGGUGCAUUCCGCACUCAGGCAAAGAUGUAGCAGAGUGGAUUCUUUAGGCCUACAAUGUAUGAAGAUAGAAAAGAAUUCAUUCGGAGAUGUGCAAGGUGCCAAAAGCAUGGAGGUAUCACCGCUCGCAAUGUGAUGCCCAUGUCAAAUAACCUACAAGUGGAACUCUUUGAUGUAUGGGGUAUCGACUACAUGGGACCCUUUCCAAAGUCCUAUGACUGUGUGUACAUUCUAGUGGCCGUUAACUAUGUAUCCAAAUCAGUGGAAGAAAUGUCAUGUUAUGCUGCGGACGCCAAGCAUGCCUGCAAGAUGUUCCACAAGGUCAUCUUCCUUCGGUUUGGAACACCGUGGAUGCUAGUAAGUGACAAAGGGUCUCAUUUCACUGAUAAGACCUUCUGAAACUUUUUACAAGAUCUUGAGGCACAACACAACAUUGCCACUCCAUACCAUCCCUAAAUAAGUGGUCAAGCAAAAACAUUCAACAAACAAAUCAAGAAUAUUCUGCAGAAGACCGUGAAUGAAAUGUGGGAAAGCAUGGAAGCAAAAGCUAUACGAUGCACUUCGAGCAUAUAGGAUCGCAUACAAGACGCCCAUCGGCAUGUCACCUUUCCAUCUCGUCUACGGAAAGACGUACCAUCUACCUGUUGAGAUGGAACACAUGGCACACUGGGUUAUCUGGACAUGGAACAUGGAUCUAGGACAAGCCGGACAUCACAGACAACUGUAGAUUUUAGAGCUAGAGGAGUGCAAAGAUAAAGCUUAUCAUAAUGCCAAGAUGUACAAGGAAAGAAUAAAAGAUGGCAUUAUAAGAGGAUCAAGGCAAAGGAGUUUGUAGCAGGAGACAAGGUGUUCUUACUCAACUCCCGGGUGAAGCUCUUUGAACACGGAAAACUUCGGAGCAAAUGGCUAGGACCGUACACCGUCAUCGACACUUCAUUUCAUGGGGCAGUCACGCUUCAGGAUGAUGAAAGUAACAUCUUUAAGGCAUAUGGUCAUCGCUUAAAAAUUUUCCUAGAACCGAUAGAGGGGUUAGGGCAGGAUCUAGACUUAGUUGAGUUGGUCGAUUUUGGUGCAAAUCCUAGGAUCGAAACCCAAGCCUAACGGGAUAGACAUCUAGCCUAUUUGCCUACCUGAGCCAGCUGAGAUAGGACCCAAGGGGUGUUGGUGGUUGUUAAAUGUCAUUUUUAGGCCGCCAAUAUAUCGUAGGCUCUCUGGACCUUCCAUUAUAUUUGAGAGAUGAAAUAAAUAAUUCAAGUCAUCAAACAUGCAUAAUGAAAUAUCUGACGCCUCGAGAGAGGAAUAUUAGAGACAUUGCUGGGCCUUUAGCCUGCCAGUCAACUUCAGCCUAAGAUGUGCCCGUCAAACCACUCGAAAGCGGUGACCAGAUGUGUUACACAUUCAAGAGACUUGACAAAAAUGGCUAAAGAUCUGCAACAUCUCAAAUAUUCUUAACUGAUACUCAUGUGAAUCUAGUUCCCAAGAUGUGCACUAGAUUCACACUUUCAUCUUAAGCAUGAAUAUACAUAGCAAGAUACAUCUAAAGCAAAUAAAAUUUAGAUUACAACUACCAAAUAGAUACAUAGGCCGACCGGCCAAAUAUAGCUAUAUCAGUGAACAGCGGAAGCUUGACUACCCAAUCCUCAGGCACAUCGACUCAGGGUUUACCCCAUUAAGUUCAAAUCCUAGAAGAAGCAGUCGAAACCCGCAUCACUCAAAUCUAACUAAGCCUAUUCCUGCAAAACAUAAAUUAAACAACAUAUGGCAAGACUCAGUACAUUAAUCAAAUUAAUAUACUGGCAAGAGCACUAUCAAACAUACAUACAUGAAAGCUCUAAGUCAAAGGAAGGCUAUUUGAAGUCUCAAUUUUAAGCAUAAAGCAAAUUUUAGUUCACAAACCAUUUGCAACAUAAUUUAAGCAAAACAUUUUAGCAAUAUGUAAAGCAUAUUAAUCAUGGCAUGAUAUCAACAUAAAUAGAUAGACAUCAUUCCCUUACAACACAACGGGAAGUAAGGAAAUCACAUCGCAUAUACCUAUCUCAUCAUCGUCUCAAAUCAUUUAGUUUCAAAAACAUUUAGAAAGCACAAAAUUAUACCCAUAGCACAUCAUCAUGUCGCUCAUGACCGUGAGCACGGCUAAUCGAUUAGUUUUUAGAACUCUGCAGAGUUUGUACAGCUUUACCCACAUAAUAUGAACUCUCUAGUUUGUUUUGAGUUUGCAAGACUCCACCACACUCUUCAUGUUGAAUUACACUACUUAGAAUCUAGUCUUGCACCAGCACGAUACGUGUUCCUCCAUCCUAGGCAUACUUGGAAAUAUGUCUAGAACCGUUAAGUGGCAGGCCCACGCCUUAAACUUAACGCCGUGGUGGCGGACACGACGGGAACCCACCACGUGGCAAAAUACCGUUGUAUUGGACACGCUUAGUCACCUAAACUACCACGUCGGGGUAAAUAGGAAACUCCUCUGAAUCAUCGACUAAUCCCUCAGAAUUAUCGACUAAGGGUGUGUUUGGUUGGGCUGUAGCCUUUAGAAAAGCUGUUGUGGGCUUUAGCUUUUGUAAAAGUAGCUUUGGAAAAGCAGCUAUGAGGAAGUCAAAAGCCCGUUUGGUUGAUCAGCUGUGGCUUUUGGAAAGACCUCUCGCACUUACGAGUGGACCCUGCCUAUCAGUCUCACUGCAUUCAUCUUCUUCAUCAAGAGAUUCGCGUUGGGGCUCGCUGCCGGCGGCGAGACGAGAGGAGGAGCAGGGAUGGCGGUGGCGGCUUGUCGAGGACGAGCGGCAGCGGCGGCAUCUCGGCGAGGAGCGGCGGCGGCUCAAAGGCUGUGGUCUCGACGGCGCCGGCGUCAGGAGGGGUUGGAGGCGGCACAGCGUCGGGCGGGGAGGAGACGGUGCGGCGUCGGCGUCUGGAGGAGGCGCGCUAGCGUUGGACGGGUCGAAGGCGACGCUACAGUUAGGAGGGGUCAGAGGGGUCAGAUAGGGAGGACGCGGCAUGGCGUCGGGAGGGCUAUAUAUAGGCGCAGAGGAAUACCCGUACUGAGCUGUCACCAUCAGUGGCCCACCUCUCAUCCGCAAUAUAUAACCUCAAAUAAUGAUAUCCCGUAAUCUAGACACCACGUCUAAACUACCAGAUACUACUCUAAUAUCAUCGUCAUGACAUAGAGUAAUUGCAUAAGCAAACACUAUACUCGCAUCAAAGCAUCUCCCAGAUAAGCUAGCAGUAUAUUCAGUAUAACAUGAACAUAAUGUAAAGAAGGUACUCAUAUACUCGGAAAGUAUUCCAAUACCAAAAAUGUAUUUAGAAGAGUAUUCUAAUAAAAGUACAAAGCUUACAAAAGAGGAAAGGAAAGCUACUAGAGCCAUACCCGAACUCUUCCGAAGGCUUCCGGACUCCUAAUUCCUAUUCUAAUUCUAUUCCACCAGCUAGAUACUACUAAACUAAACUUGAGAGGAAUGAGAGAGCUCUUGCUUGUGGUGUGUGUUGAAGUGAAGAGAGUGAGCUCCUUGUAUACAGGUAGGUAUGACGGUUGUGGAAGGGGAAUUGUCCGAAGUACCCUCCAACCGUCAUUGGGGUGCAAUCUUGGACGUCCAUGCCAAACCCUGGCCUCAACGGUGGAGAUGGGGGUUCGGCCGAACCCCCUAGUUCGACCGAACCAUGGGCUGGCCCAAACCAGCCUAUCUUCGGCUGGUGACUUCCUCUAUUGCUCCACUCCACAGACUUGUGAAUUUUGGCCCAAUUCAUUGUGUCAAUUCUGAGUUCUUGGCCCAUUCAUACAUAAGUCUGGUUUUCGACAAUGUCCAAUUGAUUUAUCAUUUGUGUUGAUGUCGAUUCUCCUCCACUUUAUUGUCAUUCUCUGCAAAAGGUUAGUACACCCAAUACUAGUGGAAUAUUAUUAUUCUAACAAACAUAUGCAUUGCAAGCAUCACUAGUUCUCUCCUGUUUUAGUAAUAUUGAUGGUCAAAACUGAUCGAUAACGACCGUCAACAAAACCCCCCAAGCUUGAACCUUUGCUCAUCCCGAGUGAAGGACAAAAGGAAACAAAGACUUGGUUGUUGAUCAGGAGUUGCUACUAUGCUGCAUAUCUCAAAAAUACAAGUGCAAGGUAUAUGUACUCUCUCUUAGAUUAAAUAAUCUUUGGCACGGUGGCUUACCCUUACCCCUGAUUCCCACGAGACACUGCUUUUCCUUGCCUUGGGCAGUUGAAAGACAGAACAACAAUUAGAGCACCAAUCACCCAAUCUUUAUUCAACUCUUAUUCUGGAAGUUUUCAAAUGAUUUUGAAAAAGAAAACCAAGCUCCUCAAUUGAUUCACUCAGUCUCUCUAAGUGUAUCAAUUUGAAUUCCUCACCAAAUGAUGCCUUUUUGAUUCCUACUCUAAGUUUUAUAUGUGGAGCUCGGUAAGGAUCAGACAUGGCAUACUUGCAUUCACAUCUGUUACUAAGUCAAAAACUUGGACUAAAGCAGAUAACUUAACAUACUCAAGAUCAAGAUCGUGCAUAAUGUGUGUGGUAUAUAGUGGAAAUGGUGUAUGAGGAAUAAAAGAAAAAUGCUUCUCCUUUGUGCUUACUUUCUUCUCCCAAAAAAUCCUUCUUUUAUUGAUUAGGAGAGGGCAUGGCUACAUUUCUCUCUUCUUCUUUUUUUCAACAUCAUGCUCAUGCUUGAUGGAGCAUAGCUUUAUUUUUUUUUCACAACCAUGCCUUUCUCUCCUUUCUCUUUUUUUUUUCUUUUUUUCAAAAGGAUUUUUCUUUUCAGGAGAAGAAAGCACAUGAAAGCAUGGAGAAUUUAUUUUGGUGGUAAUAUGGAUAUGGAAUGGAAUAUUGCUUAGCUCCUAGUGUAGGAGUUUAGCAUGUGCAUAAAAGUGGGUGUAUGAUCUUGAUCAUAGAGCAUGAGAAGUAUGUACACAAGUCACAAGAGUUUGACAAAGUUCAAUGGAACGACAAGUAACCAAAAUGUAUAUGGUUUAAUUAUGACAGCAUAUUUUUGGCUCUGGUAGGAAUUUAUAUCAAAUUAGGAACUUUCAAUUUAUCAUUUUGAAAAUCAAAACAUUCGGAAUUCAAGCCAAACUAGUAUCAGGAUCAUAGCAACUCAAUUUACUAUCUCAUAUCUCGCAACAGCUUAGACUUAGAUCAGCAAGUGCAGCCCAUUUACCUCAGUUUCCCAGAUAAUUGUUGGCUACUCAUAUUUAACCUUUGAGAGAGUAUUUACCAAGAACCCAUAUAUCAGAGAUAUAAAACAGAGCAACUAUUCAUCAUUUCAACAAAGAGAACUAGCUUGUCUUACCUAGCAUGACUCAAACCUAUCAUAUCUUUUUGGUAUUUUCUAUUUUGCAAAUUUUUAUAUUGUUUUUAUUUUUUAUAGGAUGCAAUUGGAAAACAAAUAUGCAAUUGGAAAGGGAAAUAUGCAAUGUGAUACAAGUUACCUCAGUGGGGGGAGUGAAGUCUCCCCCCAAGCCUGGCUUUCGCUUAGGGUCCUUGAUAAGGAUUGAACCCCUAAAAACGAAAGUACGCCUGAAGGUCAUCAUGCUGUUGUUGCAUCAUGUUGUUGAUGUUGGGGAAUUGAGCAUCAGCAGAUUGUUGCCAUUCUUGCGUUUGAGCUGUGUGUUCCGUGAGGUUGUACUGGAUCUCCCCCGUCUGCAUAUCAAGGGUGUCCAUCCUCCUAGUGAUUUCACCCAAGUCCCAACGAGAGGAACUCGAGCGCCAUUCACUUGGAGAUGGAGGCACACCACUUGAUCUAGGAGGUUGAUUGUCCCUCCCAGUGGAUGUCAUGAGGCGCAUGCCACCGGUCCUCACUGGCGCUUGACCAGGUUGAGACUCCGAUGUUAUGGCGUGGAGCUUGGGUCCUUCCGGGUGCAUCCCUAGUUGGUGCCCAACCUGCCUCGUAUAUCUGCACGGGUGUCGAGGAUGAUGAACUUUCUUGUUCGUUCCUUGUCAUGUUGCGCGUCUCCCUGUAUGUUCCACCUGCAUGAGAUUCUUCUAUGAUCUGCAGGGAAAUGGUUAGUUCAUGGCAGUUAUACAAAUGAUACCCCGCAUUUGGCAACAAGAUUUCAUUUAUACAACCGGGGAAAAAGUAUAUCAAAGAUCCAUCUGCUCCAUGUUUCAAAAUAUGCCCUUGCACUAGAUAAGCCUUAUCAAUACGCGGACGAGCAGCUGAGAUAAAAGCAAUUUGGUUGCUAACGACUCCUAGCCCUUUUGCUAACCGAGUAAUCAGAGAAGUGCACUCAACAAGAGCAGAGAACUUUAUACUUUCUAACCAUUGUCUUAUCAUACAUUUCACAGGAGAAAUUUUGAUCUUUCUAACCAUGGCAAACAUGAUAAUUAGUUCAUCUCUCCUAAUGGGUCUCAGAUCACUUCUAGGAAACAAAGUCAAAGCAAUCCAUUUGUGCAUGAGCCUAAGUGUAGGAUUAUGGAUAUCAUUCGUUCUAGAUUUCUUGCAAAUUGGAGCACCAGAAAUAUCUUCCCAAAACCUAUUUUUCUCGAACCUAGAAAUUCCUUUCUAGAGAUCGAUUUUACAGGAAUUGUGAAAACCAAGAAGUGUACUCAAGAAUUUCCAUGUGAGUGUGAACUCCUUACGGAAAAAGCGAAAAGAAAUACCAUCUUCUAUUUUUUUCAAAGUGCAUAGAAAUUACAAAGUAAGCAAACGAGAACCAGGCUCAUCUACCAUAGCAAAUCUCUGCCAACCAACAGCUUUCCAAAUAGAACGAAAUUUAACAUCCAUACCUAUCUUUUUCAGCAAUUCCGGUGAGUAUUCUCGUGUGUGAGCAUACUCCCGGUCGCUCAGCAUGUAGUAGGCUUGUCUCUCCCGAUCACUGACAAGGUCGAGGUCAGCGUCGCUCAGGAGUUGUCGCGGAGCGUCGGCGUCUUCCAUCGAGGCAUCGGCUGAUGAACGAGUACUAGACUCGUCAUGACGACUUGAUGGAGAGCCCGACCCCUUGAACAGAUGAGACAGUCGCCUCCUCAUACUGCAAAAUGGAGCAAGAAUAGGCUAACUCGGCGGGGGUUAGAAAUGACAAGAGUUUCACCCGCUGGUUAGUUUCACCAAAGCAACUUGUAUGUAUGCAACUAAAGAUUUGAACUUGAGGAAAACUAUCAAAGCAUGAAUGAACUUGGGAGCAAACUUUGGAGAGGGAAUGAAAAUGAGUUGAAAUGGGGUGGAAUUCCCUCUCUCGGCCGGCUGGCUUUUAUAGGGUACCCACUAGCCGUUGCCUCAAAAAGUGAGGCAGCCAACCAUUGCCUGGCCGGUUCGGCCGAACCAGGGUGUUCGCCCGAACCCCUGGUGGGCCCAACUGGACCCACUUUCGGCCGUUGGAAUCCAACGGUCAGUGUGGGCGUGGCACUGUGAAUUUUCGUUGAAAAUUUAAUUUUGGUUUGUUCUGAAAAAUUCAUUUGAAGAAUUUCCUCGAAAUUCAAAAGUCCUAAAUGCAAUUUUGAAAUUCAAAUAUAUGAUGAUGCAAAAAUUCAAAUUGUUGAAAGAAAAUAUGCGGAUACAUACCAAUUUAUCUGUUGGCAAAGGUUGCGUCAUCUAAAGUCCAACGUGCAAGACCGUGCCUCCUUCUGAUUCAGUGCGCGGAUUUUCCACCCGUCUCCGGAGGUGAUGGAGCGGGCGUCUUUGGCUUCUUCCUCCACACCUUCUUUGAUUUUGGUGCAGAAGACGGCUUCUUCUGAGCCGGCUGCUCUGACUUCUUGGCCGGUGCAGGUGAUUUUACCGGCGUCCUCCAAUAACGGUUCUUGGGCAUUGUUGUUUCCUUUUCCAGGAAGUUCUGCAUAAACCUUACCAGGCUAUCCGUCUUGGGUGGCUCCACUUCGACCUCUUGAAUGUUCUGCGGGUUUGGCCCGUACUUGAUUCUGACCAUGGAGCCUCCUUCCCGUUGAUAUGGAAACGGAUACUCCCCGUUCCCACGUCAAUGUUGGCUCCUGCGGUGCUAAGGAACGGACUGCCUAGGAUGAGCGGCGUCUCCUUCCUCGUGUCCAUGUCCAGCACCACGAAAUCAAACGCGAUGAAGAAAUCCCGUAUCUUGACUGGCACAUCCUCCACUAUCCCCACCGGGUAACGGACUGACGAGUCAGCCAGUUGGAGGCGCAUCGGUGUUGGUGCCAACACCGUGAAGUUGAGCUUGUCAAAGACAUCUUUUGACAUGACGCUGACGCUGGCUCCAUGGUCGCACAAAGGCCUGGUCGAAUUGUUGUGCCCCGAUCGAGUAGUUGAUCGUAGGACACCCCGGAUCUUUCUUCUUCUCCGAGAGCUUGUGGAGUAUUAGGUUGCUGCAGUGUUUUGUCAGCUUGACCACCUCCGUUGUUGGGAGCGGUCUCUUGUUGUUGAGUAUGUCCUUGAGAUAACGGGCAUAUGUCGGCACUUGCAUAGCGUCCAACAACGGCACGUUAAUGUGGAUCUUUUGGAUCACUUCAACAAAGCACGCCCAUGUACAUCGCCUCCUCACGGGUUUCCGGGCAGUCGUUCCCAGAAUGACCUGUGACGCCGCAGACUUCACACUUGAUGUGAGAGUCCAAGGCCUUGACGGUGCCUUGUGGCCGUUUCUUGUGGUCGUCCAAUCGUUUCAUGAGGAGGUCCAGCUUGGCAGCAAGUAACUCCGUCUCCUUGACGGUGUGCAUGCCUCGCUGACGGGUCUGGAGUCAUUCCUCGCUCUAACCCAUAUUGGAGACCAUCUUCUCCAUGAGUUCAACGGCUCCUUGAACCGUUUUAGAGAAGAAGGCUCCUCUAGCUGCCGCGUCCAGGUGAUCGCGGGACAUCGGGGUGAGCCCAUUGUAGAAGUUCUGCAGGAUCAGCCAGUCGUCCAUCCCAUGAUGAGGACAGGCGGCCACGUACUCCUGCAGUCGUUCCCAUGCUUCUGGAAUGGACUCGUCCCUUGUCUGCUGGAAACUGGAAAUUCGUCCACGAAGGGCGUUGGUUUUGCCCAUCGAGAACAACUUCUAGAGGAAUGCCGUAGAGCAUUUAUCCCAAGUGUUGAGUCUUGCUGGCCGUAGAGCCGUAGAGCAGCACGGUUGGCAUAGAAACAUUGCUUCGCUCUCCCGAGGAGGGAGAAUGGAAACAGCCGCAGCCUAACGGCGUCAGGACUGACUCCCUUGAUGGUGUACAUACUGCAUAUCUCUAGGAAUUGCUGCAGAUGAGGUUGGCAUCCUCAUUAGGCUUGCCACAGAACGGGCUAUCCUGCGCCAUCGUGAUGAGUCUAGACUUCAAGUCGAAAUCCACAUCUCCUAUGUUGACUUGUGGCCCGACGGCCACAUUGUCAGCACAGGGAGCAGCGAACUCACGAAGAGUCUUGCUGGCCAUAAUCUUGAAGGUCGGUGGCGCUGGUACUGUAACAUCCUGAAGUUUUAAUUAAUCAACUUAAGUGGAAAUCAGGAUUUGUCCUUAGUAAAAGUUGGAAGUUUUAAAGCUAUUUGGGUUCAAAACCUCAUCCGGUUAAUUUGUGUAUAAAAAAAGAUGGGUAGAAAUUGAAACCAUUUUUCCAAACUGUUGGUUUGAGUUAAUAUGAAACUUUAGUGAUCAUUAUAGGUAGGCUAAUGACCCUACAACCUUUUGGUAGAUAAACAAAAACUAUUUUUUUUAGAGACUCGUCCAACAUUCAGAGAGUGUUUUGGCGCUAAUAAAAUAUACAACACUUUCGAGGAGUAGCUCGACUAAUUUGUGUUCCCUUCCACGAGGGGAACAUUGUUUCAAGAGACCAAGCUGACUCAAUGCUUGAUAAUCCAUGAAGCUCUGGUUUUUGUUGUCUUCUACUUUUUAGCUUCUAAGCUUUGUCUAAGCCUCUUUGUAUAUAACCAAAUUAAAUGGUCAAGCGGUAGUUAAGAAACGUUGUAGUAUAGUCGUUAAUCUUUCGCUCUUUGGAUAAUCUACCCAAUCAUGCUUAGCAAUUGGCUAGUAGAAUUAGUAACUAGUGAUUGUGUGCUUGUGUACUUGUUGUAGUGAUUUUUAUGUUGUUCAUAAUUGGUUGAUACAUGUUAAAUAAACCUAGAGGCUAUGUAACAAAUCUAAGCAACAUAAAAUCCAUGAAGAUCCUCUUGUCACUCGGUCAACCUAAGUUAACCACUAUGAAGGUUUCGUGAUUUUAUCAAACUUUUUACUACCUCAAGUAAAGCAGUCAAGGUAGUCAAACUAAAUUAAUUAGAAACCUAAUUGGCAAAAUGAAGCAACUUCUAUUUGAACAAUAACUUGAACAGAAGUGUAAAUUUAUAAUAAUUUAUUCAAAUACUAGUUUAUUUAUCACCAACAAAUAUAAAUUUUGUGGAAUUUUUACUCUCUGUUUUGGCCUUCUAAAAAUUCAAACCAACUUUCAGCCUAACCAAUUUCAUCUUUUCACCAGAAUUAAAAUAUUUCGAAUUUUUUAGUGAAACUUUGAAAAAUGAAAACUAGGUGUCUAGGUCUAUCUCCACACAAAAGGAUAAAAUUCUAUCACUAUUAUUUCUUGAGCUAACUGAGUGUCAUGGUGGAAGAGGUGUAAAAUUGCUGAAAAUUCCUGAAAUCUACCCAAAUUCUUGUUCCACCUCUAUUCCCGUCCUUACCUCUUAGACCACCACGACUUGGGCCCACUUGUCACAGACCUUGGGUGCCUCUUUAUCCCAGAACCCACCCUUGGGUGUUCACCCCACCUCAGGACAUAAGGUGGGCAGAGAAAAAAACCCCUUCUUCCUCCCCUUUCCCUUCCCUUGCUUGUUCUUUGUUUUCCUCCUCAAGCUGAGCUCCCAGCUCACUUCUCCUCCCCAAAUCCUAUCUAAGAACCCAAACUCAAGCUCUGUAUGUUAGACCACAAUAAUCCCCAUCAUCCAAGCUUUCCAUCCAUCCCAACAUCUUGCACAUGCAUGAAGAGUUGAGAGAGAUCAAGAAGGAAUAAAAUAGUGGUGGUUUCAGCCUGCAGGGCUACAGCAGCAGCAUUUUGUUUUCCUCCAUUUGGUGAGCUUCCUUUUCAUCCAUGGUGCCUCUUUUGAAUUCCCUCCAUGUUGAACAUCUAUAGCAACGUUCUAUAGGUUGUCCACUCCAUUGCUGCAGGUAGAAGGUGGCUACAACUCACCCCGAGUUCAUCUCUUUUGAUUUCGGUUGAAGCAGCCCUAGGCAACGUCUCUUGCCGUCAGCCCAAGACCUUGCUCCAUCUCUUGCCAUUAGCCCGAGGCCUUAGCCUCGCAUGACCCUACGUCCAGGUUGCUGCGAUGUGAGCGAAGUCCGGUGGAAGUUGGAGAAAAGGGGAGUGAAAAUAGAAAUCGAUUUCUGAGAUAGCUUUUGAGCUGAAAGAGGUAUGCGCUUUAAAAAUUCAUAACUAAUUCAUAUGAACUCCGAAUUCAGUUAACCAAAUUUCUGUGGAUUAAGAAAAACAUGACCUUCAAUGCUGUAAAAUAAAAAUGACCAACUUUUGUACUGGUUUUCCCAGUAAAAAUAUAAAUAGCUAUAUGUAUCCCUUGUGUGGUCUAGCUCUUAAUAAAUUCGUAAGAAAUUAUUGGUAAAAGCUAAAAUUGUGAAACCAAUUUUGUUGAGCUUAUAUUUUAGUACUCUUUGCUGUUGUGGUGUUGUUUUUGGAAAAACUACCUCUUAAAACAUCUUUAGGAGUUUGUUUAGCAUUCCUAUGUUUUUAACUUGUAAAAUCCAUAAAUUAAUAAUGACAACACAUAUAGCUGUGAAAUAAUUUUUCUUAGGAGCUGUGAGUGAUGUACUUUACUCUAAAAAUAAUCAUUAUUAUGAAAUCUUGGUUUGAAAUGCAUUUUACUUGUAAUGUACUAAAGGAAACGUUAAUAUCUACAGAACUACCAUUUUCAGCACCUGAGAGAUUGUCAUUUUCAUAUCUCCCAAACUAUAAGUGAUAAUCUGGUGAUUAUUUCAACUAAAUUCAAGUUAAAAUAUGAUCUACCCACUGUAUUUAUUUCAUAAUUUAUUGAUCAUUUUUCUUGUGCAUGUUUAUUUGGCUCUUAUUCGCAUAUUGCUUCUUUUCGAUAGAUUCGGAGAUUCCGGAGAGUAACGAGCCAUAUCCCGAGGAGGAUAGUGACUAUCCUCAGCAGCAAGGCAAGCACCUAAGCAUAUAGAACCUAUGCUUUCUCUAAAAAUGAUUUGGUUGCAAUCUAUACGUAUAUAUAUGCAUGCAUUGCCUAGAUAUUAAUAUCGUCGGUUUAUGGUGUAUGGGAAGAACCUAUUUAUGCAUUUAGUUCUUGUAAUAUUGCUGUCCUUAUACCCUAUUACCACUAGUUGGGAUUAAUUGGGAUGUCUUAUUCAUUAAUGCUUAGCCAUGCUUAGUGCUAAUAGAACUAUAGGGAUGGACAGUGCUAUUAAUUGUGGUAUAUAGACAACUUGCAUUAUUGGGCAUAAAACUUGAGCACUUACACUAAAUAAUGGUUAAUGAAUUAUGUUGGACUUGGACGGGUGAUAGGGCGAUGAUGGGAGGUUGGUUUCCCCUGAUACAAGUAGCCCCGUCUAGGUCGCUAAGGACCGAACAUUUUGACAUCUAAUCAAGCACCCUACGUACUUACCACAUGCCUUAUUUGGGACCGGCUUGUUCUUACUAGUUCUACUGUGAUCAUUUAUACCACAUUGGAGAGUCGUGAGGCAGGUAGCCUUUGGAGGGCCUCGGGUGCCUAGGUUUGGCCGGGGGUGCCUCCCGCGUGGCGCGCCCGCCUUGGUCACAUCACGCACACACGUGACUGAGUCGUUGGGAACCCCAACGUGGUAUAGGUGGUUAGGGUGGGGCUAAAGAAGGGCAUGUAAUGAGCUUGAAUCACUUGUGUACCGCACUUGACGGGGUGCGUAGCAUUUGAACUUUGUUCAUUUCGUGUGGGUCCAGUUGGACACCUCUGAUCAGAGUAUAAUCUAUUCGAAUAGCCGCGUCCUCGGUUAUGGACAUUGCUUGAUGUGUAUCUCACUCAUGUUAGCAUCAAAUGUGGAUUAUUAUGGAUGGGAUUAUGUUUGAUGGUGGUGUUGGCAUGUUGUGCCAUGUUGGUAUGGACUUUGGUAGUCCAUGGUUGAUGAUGAGAGUGCCGUUUGGGCUCAUUUGCUUAUACAUUUCAGAAUUAUAUACUUGCUGUCCAUAAAUUAAAAUGAUGCUAGAUUUACUUGUCCUUGCUUAUUUUACUCAUUAAUUGCUCAAUAAAAUUAGCUUUAUGCAAAUGUUGAACCUAGAGACCCACUAUAGGCUAGAAAGCUUGCAUACUUCUCUCCCUUUUGUAUAUAUAAUUUUGGGUAAGACUUGCGAGUAUAAUCUUGUACUUAAUCUGGUGUCUGCAAUUUCAGGAGAGGAUUCCGAUUAUGAGUUAUGCUUCUUGUGUGGUCAUUGCUCUGCCGAAGGCGGCGAGGGCAAUGAGUGAUAUCUUGCAGCUUGGCUCUUGCCUGGUUGGUUGCCCUAGUGGGGUUUGGCACCACCAGUUUUAUCUUUUGCUUAUGAACUCUAUUUGAGACUUCCACUGCUAUAUUUAUGUGUUGUAUAUUGGGACCUCGGACCCUAUUAUGUGUCAUGUACCUCGCUGCACUUUAACCCUAUUAUGGUACUUGCUAUGUUUAUUAAUUGCUUGCGAUGAAAGUGUGAGGCUAAUCGUAUUCCUGGGGACUAGCUAAGCAUGAGUAACGGGUUUUGAUCGCUUGAGAUAAUCGGGGAUAGCGCUUUGGAUCGAGUCACUAGGGUAUGCUUUUGGUCGCCACCUUCGAGUGGUUGAUGGGCAUAUGACGGUGCGGACUGGCAAGCUAUCUUACGGUUAUGUCUUGCGCUCACUACUCGACAUUCCGGUUAUUAUAACAGAAGGUUAUCAACCGCGAUCAUGGACACAUUGAGGAUGAGUGGCUAUUUAUGCGUGUAUGGAUCCCACGUCUCCAAUAGUAUGUGGUGGUCGUGUUGGACACUGGAUGGUAUAAUACUCGGGGUGUCCACAGGUACGGCUGGUUUCUCUAUCGGUAGAGUUUUCUGUGGAGCAACGACUCGCGGCCUGACGCUCCGGAAGAAAGCUUCUGGAUUUUCUUUGAAGUUUUCCGGCAGGUUGAAACCAGUCAUGCACUACCCUGUUUUCACAAGAGUGAAAACAACCAAGGUUAGCCUGCAAAGGAAAAUGAUUAUACAGAGGUAAAUAUAAAGUAUUAGUUCAAUUAAUCUCUAUCAUGAAUCUUCCCCGGCAACAGCGCCAGAAAUGUUUGUUGGUAUUUCUUAACAAUAUUACUAGAAAUACUUCUGGUAUAUUAUGAUUACAAAGUUCAUCCGCAAACAUACGGAUAUACUAUUGUAGCAUUUCACCCGAGAGUAUUCCAAGGGUAUCGUAUUUAUUUUAUCCCGUGGGAAGAUCAUGUAGAGAGAACUCAACUAAUAACUUAUAUAUUACUUGUGAUAAUCAUAUUCUAAGCAGGGUAAGAUAAUCUAAGGGUAGAGUGACACACAAGCAUUACUACUCAUCCUCAUAAUAAUGAAUCUAAGCUAGGUGGAAAGAAAAGAAAAAGAGAAUCUAUUCCUAUACUUCUAAUACACAUGGAAUACAUACAUUCUAGUUAACUGGUAUACUAGCUAAUACCCUCUAUUCGAUGCCCUUCUGGUACUUCGAGAAGCCACUCCUGACUGCCGAGUUCCUUAGGACAGCCCGUCAUGACCAUCCAACCAGGGCUAAAUACGGAGGAAUACCCUCCCUAGGAAAUUAACUUAGGAUUAUAUAUAGGCGCGGUGGAAUACCCGUACUGAGCUGUCUCCAUCAUCGGCCCACCUCUCAUCUGCAAUAUAUAACCCCAAAUAAUGAUAUUCCGUAAUCUAGACACCACAUCUAAACUACCAGAUACUACUCUAAUAUCAUCGUCAUGACAUAGAGUAAUUGCAUAAGCAAACACUAUACCCGCACCAAAACAUCUCCCAGAUAAGCUAGCAGUAUAUUCAGCAUAACAUGAACAUAAUGUAAAGUAGGUACUCAUAUACUCGGAAAGUAUUCCAAUACCAGAAAUGUAUUUAGAAGAGUAUUAUAAUAAAAGUACAAAGCUUACAUAAGAGGAAAGGAAAGUUACUAGAGCCAUACCCGAACUCUUCCGAAGGCUUCCGCACUCCUGAUUCCUAUUCUAGUUCUAUUUCACCAGCUAGAUACUACUAAACUAAACUUAAGAGGAAUGAGAGAGCUCUUGCUUGAGGUGUGUGUUGAAGUGAAGAGAGUGAGCUCCUUAUAUACAGGUAGGUAUGACGGUUGUGGAAGGGGAAUUGUCCGAAGUACCCUCCAACCGUCAUUGGGGUGCAAUCUUGGACGUCCAUGCCAAACCCUGGCCUCAACGGUGGAGAUGGGGGUUCGGCCGAACCAUGGGUUGGCCCAAACCAGCCCAUCUUCGGCUGGCGACUUCCUCUAUUGCUCCACUCCGCAGACUUGUGAAUUUUGGCCCAAUUCAUUGUGUCAAUUCUGAGUUCUUGGCCCAUUCAUACAUAAGUCUGGUUCUCGACAUCGUCCGAUUGAUUAUCGUUUGUGUUGAUGUCGAUUCUCCUCCACUUUAUUGUCAUUCUCUGCAAAAGGUUAGUAGACCUAAUACUAGUGGAAUAUUAUUAUUCUAACAAACAUAUGCAUUGCAAGCAUCACUAGUUCUCUCCUGUUUUAGUAAUACGUUUUAGUAAUAUUGACGGUCGAAACUGAUCGAUAACGAUCGUCAACAGCGUCGGGCAGGGAGGACGCGGCGCAGCAUCGGCGUCGAGAGGAGGCGGCGCCGGCGUCGGGCGGGGAGGAGGCGGCGCCGGCGUCGGUGGGGAGGAGGUGGCGCCAGCGUCGGGAGGGGUCGGAGGCGGCGCGGCGACAGGUAGGAGGAGGCGAGGCGGCGGCGUCGGGAGGAGGCGGCGCUGGCGUCGAGCGGGGAGGAGGCGGCGUCGGCGUCGGGAAGGGAGUGCGGCGGCCGGCCGGCUGGAAGGGAGAGGCGGCGCUCCAUCACCACUGGUGUGCGCGUGUGAGAAGCGACGGGAAUAGAUUAGCGAACACGUUUUCUUUCAUAAUGGCAGAGGUGGGUAAUUUUUUCCCCCAAAAGAAGGUGAAAGCAUAGGGUAGAGGUGCUUUUGAUUUGUACUAUACCAAAAGCUGACUUUGGGCAAAAGUAGCUGUGGCUUUUGGGCCCUUUGGUUAGCUUUUGGCUUUUGCAAAAGCAAAAGCAGGUUGAAAAACCCAACUAAACACACCCUAACUCAUACACACCUGCGUACCAGAAUGCAAGGCUAGUCCUAAAUAGAUUAAUCAGCUUAGGCCAUCCCAUACUAGCACAUGUUGAUGUACGGUAAACAUAAUGGGUGAUAUGAUGUUCGGUCCUUAAUCGACUCAGGCGAACACUCCCCCUAUCGAUAUGCAACUACUACCAUAUGCAUACCACUUGCCGUCUAAGUCUAAAAUCACAUUUUAUCUCAUUUUAUUUCAAAAAUAAUCAGAGAAUUAACUCUGAACAUAAUGUUUAAAAAGGAGUUCCAAAUAGUAUAUCAAGUGACUCAUAACCAUGUUUCUGUUUAUCACUAAGCAAGGCUAAGCAUUUGCACUUUAUAAAAGCAUAGUAUAGUUAUAUGAGCACAAUCAAAGUACACUAAUUAAUCCUAAGGUUCAAAACAGCAAGGAAGUGAUUUUCAAAAACGGGAUUCAUGCAUCUUUUAAAGGUAGAACUACAAGUACCGAUAGUUAGAAAUACGCAUGCAAAUUUAUAAUCAAAACAUUUAGCCCGAACACAUGGGAUUCAAUGUGUUCAAAGGAAGGGCAACACUUGCCUUGGAGGAUAUAUGACCUCAUUGAAAUUAGAUAUAAUCCAUCGCCUUUACCGGUAUCGAUUUCACCUUCUAAAAGAAAUAACAGUAACAAAACAUGUAAAAAUCUAAAAUGAUCUAAAAUGCAUGAGUUUACUAGUGUGGUUAGGUACUGGUCUAAGAUGAAUUUAGGUGAAAGAAUUUAUAUUUUAUCACUUUGCAUUAGAGAGUUAUAAAUUUUCAAAUUUUAAUACUAGCUCUAGAUUAAUUAACCUCUAAUAGUCCUUAGGUGCAUUUUAGGUCUAAGUUUUUUGAAAUGUUGUCUUGCUGCCGUGAAGGGGAUGCUCACAGGAGUUCAACAAAGUUGGUUUCACAAUUUUUAAAGUUAGCAUGAUUUUAUUAUGAAUUUUACAAGCUAGGUCAUAUGCUAUAGUCUUUAUUAGUUAUUUCGAAUUUUAUAUAUGUUUUGAGUACUGUAUGUGUCAUAUUUUAUUUCAUCAAAACUAAGUUCAUGAUUUUGCCAAUCUAACAGAACUGAAAUCACCUCAUUUGGAGUUGAAAUAAAUCACCUAUGGGUUUUAUAUUUUCUAGUUUACACUAUACUAGUUAUUUUACCAAUUAAAUAGUUGGUGAUGAUUUUAAUACAGAAAGUAUCAAGUUUUAGUUCAUGUAAAUCAAGUGUAUGAUUUUUUGAGCACACUGGAAUUUGGUUCACUCCAAAUUAAGUUAAGAUGAAUUUUAUAUGAAUUUUCUAAGUUGAAGAUUGCUCUAUGUUCAUUAUUUAUUAUGUGAAUUAUUAGAGCUAUUUCUUCUACUGCAAGUGCCAAGUAUUAUGUUUCCAUAUUAAGAUUCAUAACUUGGUGAUUCUACAGAAAUUUAUUUCAUCCAGAUUGGAGCUAAAAUGAAUUUUAUAUGGAAUUUACAAGUUAACCUAUUUUUCUGUUGAUUAGGUAUUCACUAAGGCAUUUUCCUUAUAUUUUCCAGAUUUUAAACACAUAGGGCCCACUGGUCAGUGAGAUAUUUUUUGCAGAAAGGUCCCUCGAGGUUCUAGGAAUAGGUCCCGAGGUACCUAGCUCGUUUUAAUUGAAUCUUCAUUAAGACUACUCAAAGUUUUAUGUAUUUAUAAUUAGGUCUAGGUCCCACAUGUCAUGCUCUAGUUAUUUACAAAUAGAACCCCAUAUGCUUUGAUCUAUUUCUAAUCACAGUUCUUAAUGCUUAAUGAAGUGGGGACCACCUGUCAUAGGCUCGGCAGAGGAGGAAACAGCAGCAGCAGCAGAGCUUCACCGGCCGGCGGGCUUGACGUCGACGUCGGCGGCGAACGGCGGGGAUUCUGACGUCGCACCCAAAAGGAGAAAAGUGCACCAGGCUCUUGCGCAUCCGACGAUGUUCGUCUUGUCGCCGGAGAUGGCCGGGAUGGAUGCCGGAAACAGCGCGAGCGGCGGUGACCACUAGUCUGCGUUUGCAUGACAAUUUCUAGUGAGGAUUUGUGCGUUAAGGUGCAUGCAUGUGUGAUUACGAUGCUCCUGGAGACUUACGGAAGGUCGCCUGUAGGUCGGUGAUGGAUGGACGGCGAUGGCGACCUUAGAAGUACUCCGGCGGCGGCAAAGAAUGGCAGAGCGACGGCGACGACCACUCCCCAUGCUUCGGCCUGCCAAGAAGAGUAGUUGAACGGCUCAAAGAAAACCUAAGGAUGCUACACGAGCGAGGAAAUGCGCCGAAACUCACUCGGAUGCAAGGAUUCGACGACGAUAGCCGGUAGCCGGACUUGAGGAAGACGACGGCGAUCUCUUCAACGGCGGUGUCUUGGGUCGAUUGCUUCAGUAAGCAGCUUUCUGGAACCUUUGUGAUGAUGAUGGCGCAGUGGUUCGGCCAGAGACCCACCGGAUGGACGGGAACGGCAUCGCGACGUCGGGAGCGACGAUGAGCUCGACGCAGGGUGUUCGACCUGUGCAAAAUGAGAUUUCACACACAGAUGGAUCAGGUAGAGGUAGAAGAUCACGUUUCCAUGGAUGAAAUGCGCCUAAGAUCACCAGAGAAGACAAGAAAUGGAUCAAACAUCUUCGGGUUAAAGAUUGAGAAGAGUGUUCUGGGUUCCUCCGAGAAAGUUCUUGGUGUUUUUCCUAGUGGAACACGAUGAAGGAUGGAUAGAAAUCACUGUGGCGAAGUAUCACUCUAAGUGAUGGAUGUUGAGCUGGAAGGGAGGGGUUAGGUGUCAACAUUUGGCUGUAACACGAUUUUAAUGAGUUGGCAAGGGUUGAGGGCGGUGCUAUCUCGUCUACAUCUCCCAAGCUAGCCCUAGAGGCUGUCAAGUGGUCUCAUUAGUGAUUUCCUAGGUAGAUAUGAGACGUAGGGUGUGUUCUUGAGUGUGAAUUGGACUUUUAACUCUCCCUCUCUCUUUUUCUUUUGUUAAUAAAUCAAAAGAAUGUCUAACUAAGGAUGUUUGCUGGUAUGUGGAUGAUAAGUGGGUCCAUGUGGAUGCAUCCUAGGCUCAUAUGAGUGGUAAGGUAGAUAUAUGGGUGAGAGUUGUAUUUUUACCCUCCUCUCUCUCACCUUUAGAAAAAUAAAUGAUAAUAUAAAUGAGAGGUGUGUAGAUGAUGUGUUGGCUGUGAUGAGGAUGACAUAUGGGUCCCACUAUGGUUAGGUCCCACUUGUAAGAGAGAGAAAUAGAAGAAGAGGCCUAGAAGCUCUAAAUUUUCUAAGUGUUGAAACUAUACCAACAUGUGGUUUAUUUCAUUCUCCUUUCUUCCAUUUAGUUUAGAAUUUUGGGGAGACAAGGUUGCUGCUAGGUGGAUAAGGAUUCGAUGGUUCAAUGUGACAAAUUUCAAGAUUUAAUUACGCUUUGAGUUACCAUGGUAAUUUAGUAAAGAUGCCUAAGUUACAAUGUUGACUACAGUCUAAAUAUUGUUUAAGCAACUCUUGUGGCUCUCAUUUCAUGUGGUUCUAUUUCGAAUUUUAUUAAGCCUUUGCACCAGGUUGUAGAGUACACUAUAGUUAACAUUCUAACCAAGUGGUUUAGCUAGAUAAAUUAUGGUUAAAUUUUGGUGAAGGUGCAAAGUAGGCUAAAUGGUAUGCUGUUUUCAGAUUUCUAGCUGAGAUGAAGGAUUUAUUUGGGAUACCAUUUGAUGUGAUAAAUUCAAACUAAAAUUAUUGUAGACUUAGGAUGCUGUUUAGUAUUUAUGAGAAUUUUGGUGCAAUUUGUUGUUGCUUGAUUUAUUUUUAGGAAUUUUCUUUAGAUAUGACAUGCUUAUGAAACCUAUUAUGAGAUGCAACAAUUAGAACAUUCAAAAACAAACCUAAAAUAAUAAAAUGCACAUACAACCAAGUGUACUUACUUCCAUCUUAAGUUUUGCUUAUUUUAAAUCUUAUAUCUCCAUUUGUUUUCAUUUAGCUCAAAAAUAUUUUGCUUAAGUUGAAAUGCAAAGCCAAAAGAAUUAAAUUCCUAUUUAAAGUUUAAACCAUCUUAUUUGAAUUGAGAUUUGUUAACCCAAGAUUUUAUAAAAUCUAAUUUUGGAUUAGCUUUAAAUCUUGACCAACAAAUCUUUAUGUUUUAAUUUUAUUUACAGGAUUUAAACUCUAAGAUCAACUAUUAUGCUCUUAAAUGCUUUAGCUUUCAAAAGGUUUUAAAUUUUCCUCAAAAUUUUUCCUAGGUGAAAUUCCUGGUAUGUUACACAAUACCUGCAUAAAUCAUAAGUUAUUAAACAUCCAACAUAGUGGUAGGGCCUAAUUCUAACAAUUUCCGUGAGUGUUGGUGUAUAAUUAUAUCCAGGUAAUAAACCACCAAAGUUGAGAGGAAAUACAACCAAAAGUGGAGGAAAAUUCCAUCCAUAGAAAACUUGGCUCAUACACACAUUAAAAUAUUAGAAGUUGAGCCUAAUCUACAUCUCACUAGGCCAAGAGAUCAUCUGUCGAGGCCCAGGAGGAAGCCCAUGGGUCGGGAGCUGACCAG